rnacentral:lncRNA from 1 species
UCCCGGUUGGUAGUACAAACUGAAACCAAAAGAUCCCUUGUUAGUUCUGGUUGGUGGCUCCAACCAGGACUGACCGUUAGUCUCGGUUGGAGCCAUCAACUGGAACUGAAAUGAGCUUAUUAGUCUCGGAUUGAAAGGAGUAUCCGAACUAAAAGCUGGAAUGCGAUUUUUUUCUUUUCCCGUGCACCUCUCCCAAUACUUUAGCUCUCUGUCGUCUCGAUCUCUUGAGUCCUCUCCUUUCUCCCUUAUCAUUUUCCCUCUCUUCUCCCUCUUCCUCUCUUUUCUUCCUCUUGCGGCUGGUGACUUCUUUUCUCCUACUUGUGCAGCAGGAGAGGCGGAGAAUGGAGGGAGUGGUGCCAGAGGGAGGGGCCCGGCCAAGGGCAGCGCAGCCGGCCGGUGCUGCGGCUAGUCGCGGCGGCAAGCCGCGCCCGCUGCGCACAGCGGCGGUGUGGGCCCGCGCCUGGCGGUGGCGGCAGCCGGUGCAGGAGAGAAUGGCAAGGCGCGGCGGCCGGCCCGGUGCGGCGGUAGGGCGUGGUAGCAGACCCGGUGCGGCGGCAGGGCGCGGUAGGAGGGCGCGGUGGCCGGCGUGGGUGAGGCCCCGGCGCGCAAGGCCGGGAGCGGUGGCGGCCCGGUGAGCCUGGAGAAGACGAAGUUGUUUGAGAUUGAUUCAUUCACAGUAGCCACUCCUCUUUAUUUUCUUUUUUUUCUUUACUUUCCCUGUGAAUGAUUCUGAGAUUGAAAUAUGGAUAUACGGGAUUGAGAUAGAUUAUGUGGAUGAUUUAUUUGUGGAUUGCGAUUGUGAUUGGCUUCGUGAAUGAUUUUGUGAUUGAGAAAGGAAUUGGAAAAGUUGGACCUACAGGAGCCGGCCGUCGUGGGCGAGCGGCGGGUGGGGUGGGGCCUAGGGCAUGCUUUUCUUAUUUUGAGAAAAUCACAUUAGUCCCGAGUCAGAGAGCUACCGGGACAAAUUACUAAACACAUUAGUCCUGGAUACUCUGUCCCGGUUGGGAAUCCGGAACUAAAGUCGGUUCCUAAUCGGGACUAAAGGCCCUUUCCGUACUUAGUGGUUGUUUUUUUACACCUCUCGUAUGGAUAUAGCUAUCUAUGUACGAACACAUAUCAAUAUUACAUACGCACCACACUCACACCACUACAAGUAAAGUAUAAAGAUUGCGUCCCUAGAGAGCUCAAUAAAAUCAUCCAAGACUUCAUAGGCGAUAUGUCACAAUCCAGGAGAUAGAACUCUUGUGGCUGGCACGCGGAUCUUUCACUACCAUGCUACCAUCGUAUUCUAUAGUUUAUAAUUUAGUUCUAUUUAGAUCAGUCUCAAACUACGGUAUUCUAAUUCUAUAGUUUAGGGUGUGUUCGUUUCCUACCCUCUAAAUUUUAGACCCAUCACAUCAAAGAGAAUCUUGUCAUUUAGAAGUAUUAAAUAAAGUCUAAUUAUAAAACUUUUUGCACAGAUGGAUGCUAAUUCACGAGACAAAUUUAAUGAGCCUAAUUAAUCCAUAAUUUGCCACAGUGAUGCUACAGUAAUCAUCCGCUAAUCAUGGAUUAAUAUACCUCAUUAGAUUCGUCUCGCGAAUUAGCCCUGAGAUUCUGCAAUUAGUUUUAUAAUUAGACUUUAUUUAAUACUUCUAAAUGACAAGAUUCUCUUUGAUGUGACCCCUCUAAACUUUAGAACCCAGGAAACGAACACACCCUUAGUUUUAUUCAGAUCAGUCUCAGGGCAUAAGUUUAUUGUACAGGUAACCGAGUAAGAUGAGUGUCAUGGUGAUAAAACUCUUCUCUUAUUCUAUGAAACUCUCCCUCAUCUCUUUUCUUAUAAUUACUCCGUCGUAUCAGCAAAUUUGCUGAUGUGGCACGAUAUUUAAUGUUUAUGAAACUCCUACUAAAACCCCACUAACACUGCACUAAUGCUACCAUUCUAAGAUGAUGCAAAAUCUUCCUUAGGAUGCUUAGGUUGCAUGGUAACGAUCGAAUGUAGUUCGUAGCUAAAAUUCGUAUCUACAUGUCUUUUUAAAUAAGCGUGAAUUUGGUUGGUAACGGUUAUAUAAAUGUAUACUAACAAAAUUAAAGCCACAGAUGUGUUUAAAAACUGCAGCCAUCAAACUGCCGGUCUGAACUUUCUAUUGAUAGCCAAGGUUUGUAUAAAAUUUGUAAGGUGAGUAACGCAGAGAGGGGAUUGGAAAACUAGGUUAUAUUAUAGUGUCGAGAGCCACAAAGUCAAUUGAGGUCUUGAUGUGGUGCGUACCGGAUGCAUGAUCCAGAUGCAUGGAAUUUUUUUCCGUCUAGAGAGCUAGGUCGUCGGCAACGGCUCGGAGUGUACGGUGCACGUGCACAAGUUUCCAAUCAAAGACCAUAGCUUCCGGCUCUACAUCCGUAAAACUUGAAUGUCAAUGCCUACUGCUCUGCAUCCCUUAAGUGAACAUCAAACUUCUUGGGAUAGUUUUAAAUUUUUAUUGUUUGUCUAAUUAAAAAAAUACUUUAUUCGUUUCAAAUUGUAGAUCGUUUCGGCAAAUAUAGAUAUAUAAAUUUUUGCUAAGAUACUAUAUAUAUAUAUAUAUAUAUAGAUUUAGCGAAACGAAUUUGGGACGGAGGGAGACACAGCCCACAACCAGAAACCCAGCUGCUAGAGGCGACCGCAAUCAUACUCGGUGUGCCCCAGCGAGUUGGUGCCCAGCAGAGUCACGAUGGCGAAGCAGGCGAGCUUUGUGAGCAGCGACUUGGUUGCCAGCAGCGUCCCCAUGGCGAAGGACUCGAGCGACAGCCUCACCACCCUCAGCCUCCUCUCCCUGACGUACGCCCCCAUCGCGGCGCCGAUCUCCUCCUCGCGCAGCUCGCGCCCGCCGGCGGCGGCCCGCGACAGCGACCGGGCGAGCACGAGGGCGUCCUCCAGCGCUGCCGAGCCCCCCUGGCCGAUGUACGACCCCAUGACGUGCAUCGCGUCGCCGGCGACCGUCGCCGUGCCCCUCCGGAAGCUGCUGAACAUGACCUGCCACGGCGGCCGGUACCAGAUCCUGGUCAGGACGAUCAGCGACUCGGGGUCCGGGUCCCGGACCAUCUCGAUGAUCUCGUCGGAGCACUGGUCCUUGAGCUUCUCGAGCACGAACGCCUUCAUGGCGCGCGCGUCCUUGGUGGAGUCCGCGCCGGGGUGCCAAUAGGCCACGAAGAAGCUGACGAGGUUGUCGGUCAUGGGCGAGCGCCCGACGAAGAGGCCUUUGCAUCUCAGGCGCAGGAAAUGGGGCCCGAAUGGAUGCCCAUGCGGAUAUCUCGUGACCCCGCGAAGAAGCAUGCGAGAGGUUGAUCUCGGCGGGGACAGGCCCAAGUACUUGGCUACCACUGAGUUUGAGCCAUCGCAUCCGAUCAGGGCCUGCGCAAAGGGAACACAAGUAGCAGAGAUAUUCAGAAGUUAGAGCAACAAAAAAAAGAUGAUUUUUUUACAGUCCUUUGGAGGCACCAAAUCAGUGGCGUACGUAGAAUUUUAAUAUAGGGUAUACCGCACAAAUGCUACAACAACUCAGUAUAAUUUAUAGAAUGAUUCGAUAAAUAACUAUAAAUUUAUAUAACAAUUCGAUAUAUAUACACAUAUAAAAUAACUAAAGGUAUGAUAAUAUUGAUCAACAUCUUAAAUAGUAUUGGUGCAUGUUUAAGAAAAGAGAUGUAAUUCAUAAUUUUACCAACUCGUAUACUAAAAUGAAUGAAGACAUGACUUUAUUGAGCAGGAACAAACUAAAUUUCAGUCACUUUUAAAAUACCCUCACACGAGUAAGGAACACAAUUCAUGACAAGGUAUUCGCAGUUCUCGAUCUCACAUGGAAUAUCAUCGCAUUUAAUCUCACAUGGAAUAUCAUCGCAUUUAAGUAGUACACUCAUAUCAAUUAUAAUCUAAUAAUCUUGAUUUACAUGAUAUAAGAUGAUUAGAUGUCUUUCCCGAAAAAGAUGACUAGAUAUCUAAUUAUCUAGAUCUACUCUUCUAUGUACGUGGGAGAGUACAGAAAAGAACCGGUGGAGAUUGGAGGAGAGUGCAGAUGUGAAUCAUCUUGACGUGCUGGAUAGAGGGGAACUUGGCUUGUAACGCAGGAGAUGACAGAGAGGAUCCAAGAGUAGAAAAAGCUCAGGGAUGAGAAACUGCCGACGCAAAUACUAACCGAGAAAAGAAAAAUUAUAUGGACUCUCUGUACUACAUGCCGUGGCCCACCCGGCAUAUGCCUUGGGUACGCCCCCAAAUUUCAACUAAUGCUUACUGGUGCUUUCCUCUCCUUUUUUUUUGAAGGUUCAGGGUGCUUUCUUGUUUUAGGAGAUACCAAGAUUUACAUGGUACCUCCGUGUACCUGGACUGUAGAAAAAGCUCUAAAAAAUAAACGAAGUUGAAACAACAGCACUGGAUCCGUGGAUCGAUGCUGCUGGCUGGCUGCGUUACCUUGGCCCUGAUGAUACUGCCCUCCACUGUGGUAAGAACCGCGCCGUGGUUCUCAGGAUUUGCUGGGUGUAUCUCUGCAAUGUGGCAGCCGAAGCGGAUUGCUCCUGAAGGUAUGUUCUUGGCCAUUGUCUCGAUCAGGUCCUUUCUUUUCAACCAUCGGAGCUCCCCCCUGGCCAAUGAUGGAGAGGAGAUCGCUCUGUUUUAGUGCCUUAAUCUUUUCACAGAAUUGCAAGGGCUCUGGAUCUAGAUAUGAGAUUGCUCUGUGACAGUUGGUACCUGACAGGUACCACGACUCUCUUGUCUCCUUGCUCUUGCGUCCACACAUCGUGAAACCUGAAAUGACAGACGCGAACUAAGCAUUUCCUUGUACCGAAGUGUCACUUUCCAGGGCGAAAGUUUCCAUCAUACCAAUUCCAAACAUCAAAGUCGUCAGGAUAUAUUUCCGAGGGAACUUGUCAGAAUCAAAGACAACAGUCGAGAGAAGACUCUGAUUGGGAGGUAACUAGUUCCCUGAACUGAACAAAACACUAGAAACUUACUCAGUAACUAUGUCGGCAGUCUCCCGGAGCUCUGGAGCGAUCCCAAGUUGCUCUAGGACACGCCAUCCGUUGACAUGGACGCCAAUGGACCCGCCGGCCGUUCGUAAAGUCUCGGACUUCUCUAGCACGAGGCUAGGAAUCCCUUUCCUGGAUAGCAAAUAAGCAGCGGGUUGUUUUGUUGUUCACUGCUACUUCAGAAAUCAAAACUUCAACGCAAGUGGAGACUGGAGACUAUGGCAUGGGGGCCAGAUUAUGAAAGGAAAAAAAAAACAUCUUGACAAGACAUCAGCGGCCUGAAUUUUUCACAGCUAGAUUUACUCAAGAUAAAACGUUUCCAGGCAGAGAUCUGAUGUGGCUGAAAACCACCAGGGUAUUGUAAAACUAGUCGCAGAAACUGAAAUAUACUACUCUAAAGAGGGAAACAAAAGGGGAAUGAGACAGAAACUGAGAAGCUGCUGCAGCGGUCGACGAAACUAAAGGGCCGAUGGAUGUUACCGGUGAAGAGCAAGAGCAGUGGCGAGGCCGCAGAUGCCACCACCGACGAUGACGAUGCCAUGGACCUCCUCCUCCAUGUCUCCCCUCCUUGUCGCCGUUGGUGCCGGGGAAUGAUGCGCGCAUCUUCAUAGGCUGCUAAUAAGGCUGCUGCAUUUGACUUUGAAGUCUUAGUCACAGGCUGCUAAGGUGCUUGUUAAGUAAUGUGCGUGUGUCCCUCGCCGGCAAUGAUAAUAAAAAUAAUGGCAGGACAAUAACAACUCAGAUCAGCGUCAGAGGCAAAUAAAAAAAUGAUAUUAGCUGCCAUCUUCUUUUUCAUACACCGGUGGGAGGAUUGGGCCUCCUCACAAAGAAAUGAACAAGAUUUCAGCGAUUGGCAAUACAAUAUUGGGAUUUUAGGUGCAGAUACUCGGCCCCUUAUGGAUGCCCAUGAGGAUAUCUGAAUCCUCGCAGAACCGCGCGAGGGAUUGGAUUGGGCGCUGACAUUAGGAGGGCUAGCAAUCCUAGGUUCUGAAAUGAAAAACUUAAUGUGGAAACUGAUAAUGUGUCGGGUUUUAUUUCAAAAAAAAAAUAAUGCGUAGGGGUAGUAGUACUCUUUUACAAGUCACCUGUGAAGAGCAGGAGCAAUGGCAAGGCCGGAGAUGCCGCCGCCGACGACGAUCACGAUGCCAUGAGUCUCCUCCUCCAUGCCUCACUUGCCCACCUGUUAGUUUUUUACUGCUCAUAAGUUGGUGAUGGAUUGGUGCUGCAUUGGACGGCGAAGUCCCCAGUCGAAUAAUUUGAAAAGUUUAACCAUGGCGUGUUGUGCAUAGCUAUAGAGUUUGGAGCCAAUACAUUAGCACAUCUAUGCCCGGCUCCAUUGCUUUACGAAAGCUUUUAUCAAACUUUAGCAAAUUUUAAUUUAUUUUAUUAAAGAACGAGCGCUCCUGCUGGGCCCUUUUUGCCUAAGAGAGAAAGGAGCCGUUGGAUUCGGAAUGGACGCUGGAUAGCGAGCUGGAAGUCAAGACGUGACUUGAUGAAGCAAAGUCAGUGAAUCCGGCUCCGCGAAACCUUUCGUCGUCCGUUCCCCCGUUCUCUCCCUCUCGUGGCCUUUCUUUCCCGGCGGUGACGACUGGCGAGCGCCGCCGCCGCCCUACGCCAGGCCUUCGUCGGGCCCUUCGCCGGCGACGAGCACCCACCAGGUACGCCUAGCUCUUAUUUUCCCUUCCUGUCUUCCUGAUGUGCGAAACCGAGAACCCCAAACCCUAACAUAAGCUAUUUGGAUUCGGAUCUUUGGCGGUGUUUUUGUAGAUUCGACCCGGAAUGUGAAUGCAUAGUGUAAUUGCCCCCCGAAAAGAUGGCAUCAGACGAGUUCAUCAGCCUUGAGGCACCUUGCGAGGGUGAAGCGAAAGGUGAAGAAGGGGGAGACCUUCAGGUUGAAGCUCCUGAUGUGAAUGGGGCGGCGCCUCAGGCUUCUGAACUCCAACCAGAAGGGGAAGCUGGUACUGUGGGUACUAAUCUCAAGCCGUCUGAUGGGAACAUAGAUCUUGAAGAGGGGCAAGUGGAAGAUAUGGACCUCGAGGACGAUGAUGUGGUUGUAAAGGAUGAGCUAUUAGAUGCUUCCGUUCAGCCUGAAGUCAGUGUUGCAGCUGUACAGACUGUAAUUGGUUUUGAGGUCAAGCUGGACAAGGGUAUUGGGGCCGAAAGUGCACCAAUUUAUGGGUCAAACAGCAUCUCUGUUGAAGAAAGUCGUAUCCUCUCAAAUGGAAUAUAUUUAUAUUUCUGCUAAUAUACUUCUGCCACUGCAAGGUGUCUAUAUUUCUGAAGAUCCAUUUGUUUCCAUUGAAUCCUGGGAACUGUACUCGCAUAAGAAGUGCAGACUAUUACUUGUUCACCUGGGACCCCAAACAUGUAUUGCGAAUUGCCAAUUUCUAGUUGUUGUUGAUCCUUGAUAUGGCAUUUUUAGCAGCUAGAGGAGUUAAAAGAGCUCGUGUGGAAUCAAAGGAGCCUUCAGUUCAGGUCAUCUACAGUGGCUUGACAAGGUUAGUUACAACAUGCUUUCCAUUCUCAUAGGGAUUGUAGAACAUGGCAUUUUGUUGUAGCCACUUCCAUGCUCCAGAAAAGAUUUCAAAACCAUUUAGUUAUUUCUGAUGGUAUUUUGUAUUUUAAUGUCUCAGGGAAAGCAAAAGAAAGCUUAUGGAACUGAUGCAACAGUGGUCUCAGUGGCAGGCCAGAAGGCAGCACAAAGUGAAGGUACCGUUCCACACAAUUAUGCAUGUUUCUGAUGUAUGUGCAUCAUUCAUUUAUUUGUAUGUCAUUAGUCUUUGGUAGUGCGAUAAGCGAGUGUUAGCUGUUUCCACUCUGGGGAUAUGGAAAAAAGUAACACGGCAGAAUUCAUUCCAGUUCUUAUAAUUUUGAAACUUUCAUCUUCCCUCAAUACUCAAUAGUGAAUACUGAAAUUUGUUAUUGCUUCGUAGUGAUUCAGUAUUAUCCUUAUAACCUAUCAGCACAAGCAGAUAAUGUAUCAAGAAAGAAUUAUCUGUAGAAAUGAUAGAAUUGAAGUUUCCUUUUGUGAUGUUUAUUUUCCUUCUGGAAAUAACAGGAAGCUGUGGAAGAGAUCUUAGAAAGUGGUGAAGAGACUUAUUAUCCAGCAUUACAUGUUGGUUCCGAGAAAUCUUGUGCUGUGGUAUGUAUUUCCUUAUAUUGCAGAUUUUUUUCUAGGACUGGUUUCUCAACUCAUUUUUAUUACAUUUAGACCCCUGCUAAAUUCAAUUUUUUGUCGAAAUCGUCUCUACUUAUAUGAAUUCCAUAACAUUUUUUUUAUGAGCAAUUCAAGCUUCCUUCACAUUAUUAAGUAGAAAAAUCAAUCCGCAUCAUAAAAGUAAAGGGCAAUUUCCAGGAGCAAUAGUAUAUGAAUAGUUUAAAUAUUUUAUUGGUGAUGUAUUUUGUGUUGCCUUUCUUUUUUGUUAUGCUUUGAUAUUGAAUGGAUGUUCUUCGGGCAUUGGCAGUACUUUCAACAUACAUCUUUAAUCUUUCUUUAAUUUUACUGUGGUGUCUUGUUAAAGUCAAAAAAGUAUAGUGCAAUUGGUUUAUAUUAAACAUCUACUAAUCUUAAUUACUUGUAAUCUAAGAAAUUAAAUGUAAAUCGGUGGUCGAACUUUUGAAGACUGCGCGCAGUUUAGAAUCUAUUUUGUUUUUCUGUAAUGAUGAGCAAUCCCAAAUUCUAUAAAUUAUUGUCUUUUUUUAAAUAAAGAGUGAAUUGUCAAAAAUCUACAGCUAUUUUGGCAUGUGCUGCAGAAAAUUACAACUUCCGGUGCCCAUUGCAGAAACCUACGACUGUUUUAUCACUUUGUUGCAAAGAAACUGCAACUUUCUCACCAUGGACAACAGGUGGUCCCAUAGUUUCAAUGGUUCUGGUGAAAGAGUUGUAGUUUUCUGCAUCAAAUGUCAAAAUAGUUAUAGGUUUCUAACAAUAGGAUCCGGUUUGGUAGUUUCUUGCAACAGAUGUCAAAAUAGUAGGUUUUAAAUUUACCUAUUUAAAUUUCUUGCUUCCAUUGCUGAGGUAUUCUGCUUCUUGCUAUCACACUUGACUUAGCUGCCUGCUAGUGUGAGCAUGUUUCUUAUUGGCAUCCUAUAGUGCAAUUCUAGUUGUGUUAAUGUGUGACAAACCCCUUAAUUGCGGUAGGGACUCCCAUAAUGCUUUUGGUCCUUGCUCUGUCUUUCCAUUUAUUUGGUGACAUUGACCUCUUCCUUUAGAUACACUUUAAGGACAUGCUGGAAAUAAAAUCAAUCUUAUCCCUUUACAGAGCAACAAAUAUGCUACCAAGAGCGUUCCUAUUCAACAUAAGUAAAUUGUGGAAUCCAGUGUUAGUUCCCACUUGCGGCUAUACAUUUUUAUUCUUUCCCUUAGAAGUAUCUCAUUUUAGUCCUACACAUUGUAAUGUGGGCAUAGUUUAUUGUCCUUCAUUACUGUAUUACUGAUAAUAUGCAUCUAACAUUUGAUGUAAUAUUAUGAUUUGUUCUUACUUUUUGAAGCAUACUUUACUGAAAUAUAAUAAUUGACCCUGCUGUUUGCUUUCUCUUUUUCUCUUAUCCUGACAAGUCAUUUUGGGUGGAUAACCAAGCAAGGGAGAGUGCUACCAUGGAUGAUGAUUCUGUUCCACUGUAUGAUCGGGAAUUUACCUUGGGCUCAACUCCUCUGGGUGAUUCAUCAAACACUGAAAGGUAGAAGUUAUUAUUAUUAUUAACUGCUUCGUGUGUAUCUGUGGGGUCCUUAGUCAUGUUGCUAGCAUUGCCUGAUGUGUAAAGAAAUCUUUGGAGCCUGUCAUCUUCCUUACAUUCUUUUAGUGUCACUAUCUAUGAAUAAUCACCAUUUUUCUUGAUCAUUUUGGACCUGUCUGGUACACUUAAUUUGUCAGGAUUCUGGAAGUUCAUGAAACUGUUCAACUUCCACAGGAAUUUGGGAAUUUACCACAUUCCAUUGGGGGCCUCAGUGAUUGUUUUGUUUAGUUUUGUAGUGUCUCAUUAUUCUUCAACCAUUUGUAUGUAUUAAUAGUGUUGCAUCUUAAUCUAUCUUCUUAUGCUAAUGUAGUGUCAAAAUUUAUCCCUCCAGUUAUUUAGAGGAAAAAUCUUUUGGUAUUAAUGAGUAUGCACUAAAGAGUCAAUUGGCUAAUGGAUAAACUCUACCCCUCGUGUGCUUAUCUUGUUGUCGAUCUGAGUGCUAAUGGAUACUUAUUCUUUUUGUGUGGCAUUUGAUACUUGACAUAUCUCAUUACUAUAUAAAUUACAAAGUUAUGCCUGAAAUGAUCCUUCAGUAGCUGAUAAUGUGGCAUUAUGUUAUUCAGAAACUCUCCCAUUGUCUGAUUAUAAUUCUAAAAACUCAUGUGCUUAUCUUUGAUCAAAGUUUAAGGUCUUCAGCUGUUUGAUUAUAUUUGUGCUGGCAUUCUGUUAUUGUUUUUUCAAAAUACAACUAACAUUUAGUUUUUUAUGAUUGUUCUCGUUAAUAUUGUAAUUGUAUUUUUCACUGGACAAACAGUUGAGGUAUCUUGUUUCUCUGACAGCAGGGCAGAUAAGGAUGAUUCGCGCUGCUUCAAUUGUGGUUCUUAUAGCCAUGCUCUGAAGGAUUGCCCAAAGCCUCGGGACAAUGUUGCAAUUAGCAAUGCGCGGAAGCAGCAUAAUUUGAAAAGAAACCAAUCUAAUGCUAACCGUGUACAAAAUCGAUAUUACCAGAAAACGCCCGGCAAAUUUGAUGAUCUUAAAGCUGGAGUACUGGGACCUGAAACUAGAGAGUGCUUGGGAAUCGGGGUAAUGACUAUAUCAAUUGCAGUCAGAGCUUGAACCAUCCUGAUUUUAUUGAUAAAAUGUUUAUGUUUACCUUGUUUACCAACUUGAUCAGUCUUGGGCUCAAAAAAAAAAACUUGAUCAGUCCUCUUCUGAUGUGUUUGCAGUGAAAUAAAAUGACAUUAUUGAUCUGCACCUCCUGUUAACUUACUGAAAUACUACACCACAUACUUGCAUUCAUGAAGUGAAAAGCAUUAGUUUAUUACUCCGGUAAUGUUUGUAUUUAUCUUAAUCACGAAGCUGUGUAUCGAAAUAGCACUUUCGUCUAUUCAGGUGUCGUGUUUAUUGUGUGCAUGAGAUUCCUGUUGUUGUUCAAGGUUAAGUAAUUUUGCCUUGAGUGCAAUACCCUUGUCUCAUUUAUUAUCAACCAAUGACUAAUAGAUUUCCAUGACCAUACUUAAAAAAAGAUUCACAUCAUGUUUACUCAACUAAAUGCAUUAGACCUGCUGGCACAAAAUUUCAAUAUGCUUACCUGUAGUCACUUUUCUACUAGCAAAUGAAGCCAGAAGCCUCAACAAAGUAUUAAUAACACUGCAGGAUUAGACUUUAUUAUUGUACUUGAUGUUCGGAUAGCCCUCCGAGCAGACAUGUUAAUUUUACUAUGGGAGUACUAGUUCUGUGCGUCUUUUUAAAAUAUUUUUGGGGAUUGAAUGACCUUACUCUGCGAACAUUUUUAUUGAAUUCCAGAAUGCUAGGAUCACUUUCUGAGUAUAAUGAUGUUUUACAGGAAAACGAUCCCCCUCCUUGGCUGCAUAGAAUGCGUGAAUUAGGUUACCCUCCAGGCUACCUAGGUAAGCUGAGAACUUCAGUAUACAUUUGAAUAUUUGUGUGCAAAGUAUGCAAACAUUUGUUUCUUAUAUGCAUAGUUUCCUCGGUUAGUUCUUCAAACCAUAUUCUUGGCUAGGCCCAUUUGACUUCGAUCUACAUGCAUCUUUUAUCUUGCACUAGCACUCCCAACUUUGCUUCAUUCCUAUAUAGAAGUCGGACAGCGAACAUUACCAUCUGGAUGGCAUGUGAACUUUUGUGUAUAUUUGUUUACAUUAGGCAUUACUUAGGUUUCAUAACAGAUAUUUUUAUCAGGAUCUCGCUGCUCACUGAUUGUGAUUUUUAGAUGUGGUUGAUGAUGAAGACAAACCUUCUGGUAUCACCAUAUUUGGAGACAGCGAGGUGAAACUAGAGUAUGAGGAGGGAGAGCUUCCAGAGCAAGGAGAAGCAUCCCCACCUCGGAAAAGGAUGACAGUGGAAUUCCCUGGAAUAAAUGCCCCCAUCCCAGAGAAUGGUGACCCCUGGCUGUGGGGCAGCACCCCGCCCCAGUCCUCUGCCCGCCACCACUCAUCGGAUUCGAGGGAUUACCGCGAUAGAGGACCUCCUGGUGCCGAUCAUUAUUCAUCGAGAUACCAUUCCCACGACUAUGGGCAGUUGAGCCCGAGCUUGGGGAGGUCACACUCAGACAGGGGUUGGAGAAGCCCACCUCGUUACGACAAUCUGCCGGCAGAGGACGGUGCAUGGACCCCACAUUCGUACCCUAGUAGGCAGUACUCGGGCCACUACAGCUCGAGCUCGGAGAUGUCGUCGCGGCAUUACAGGGACAGAGACAGAGAUAGAGACAGGCAUGACAGCAGGCACUACCACCACCGCAGAUGAGUCAAGUAUGCAGCUGAUUUGUGCGAUAUCCUUUUGCCGAAGAAUCCUAUACCCGAGGACUUGGAUCUGAUAUAGCAGCAGUUCUGUUACAGUUUCUGAAGUUUCAAAUUUUCUUUAAUUCCAUAUAUUUGCAGCACUGCUCCCAAAUGCAUAGUUGGCAGUUGCCUUCUCUCAUCUGGCCUGUGACUGAGGUCUGUUCCCGUGUUGUAUGACUGCCUUUCUCUUAUCUGUAACUCUGCUCAUUUUUGACAGUUAAGGCAUAUAUUGUAGAAUGCAAAUCUUAGGGCCUGUUUGGAUGAAAGGUUCUAGAAGUAAAACACCGGUAAACUAGACUCCCUGAACAUUUCCUGCCCGUGAGGUCAAAAGUCUUGAUGAAUGGUCAUCACACAAAUUAUAGCUGGUUUAUCCUAGUAUCAUUGUACAAAAAUGCGAGGAAUAGGCUCAGGUUUCCGUUGACGGUCGCGGAGCUUGCAACUUGCAAGGGCGAUGCUCCGCUGGAGCGCUCGUCAGUUGUCACAAACAUUCUGCCUCUUGAGAGCUCUGGUCUGAAAUUUCUUUAAUUCCAACUCCAAGUUGAUGCUCUAAUCUGCUUGCUGCAUCUUCAAUCCUGGCAGCUUUGAGAUCUUGAAUUGAAUGAUCUAGGAAUCAAAUCUGGCAGUUCACUUUGGACAGCAGUGGUUUCGAUACCGGUGCUUCCUCACAGAGUGUUUACCCAAAUGUUAUUUUUCGAGUCAGAAAAUCUAGUUGCAUUGUUCUGCAUGGAAUAUUACAACCGGCUAGUUACAGUUGUUAAAAAGAAUCACAAAGCAAUAGGGCCUUAAUCUUGUUAUGGGCAAAAGGAAAGUUGUAUUCAUGCAUGUCUACUAAAAGCGUAGCAAGAUUCUAGCUCCACUGCCCGGUUAAGAGAGAAGGGAUGAUUACAAACCCCUCUAAGAAAUCACCUUAAGCUUGAUUCCCCUAUAAAAAAAUUAUUUUUUUGGAAAAAGUCCAGCUUACACCCUCGAGCUAUCACAAAAUUUUAAUUUUCAACCUUCAACUACAAAACCGGAUAACGGAGGCCACCCAAUUGUCGAAAUCGGACAAAUUUGACCCUCUAAGCGGUUUUAAAGGUGGUUUUUUAUUUUAUAAAAAUUAAAAAUAUUCAAGUUUAAACUAAAAAAUUUAUAAGCAAUUCAUUUUAAAUAAAAAAUAAAACAUGUGCCAGCAUUUUUCUAAAAAUGUAACAUAUCUAUUAGCAUUGUACUUCAAAGUUAUUCGGAUCCAAUUUUUUUAUAUUUCUAGUAUUGUUUGCUUGUAGUUAUGCCUAUUAUUUUUUUAAUAAAUAAGACUUAAAUAGAGCAACAAUAGAUAGGUUGCAUUUUAAGAAAAAUUUGGUACUAAUUUUAUAUUUUUCUAAUUUAAAAUAAAUUAGCUUUGACUUUUUAGAUCUAAUAAGAAUUUUUAAUUUUUUAAGAAAAUACAAAACCACCUUUGAAACUACUCAAAGGGUUUGAAAAUUGGAUCUUUGUGGUAGUUCGAGGGUGAAAACGGACUUUUCCUUUUUUUAUUAUUUGAGCUUGGUUUUUCACCCUUACAUAGCUGUGCUGGAUGAUAGCAACUUUGAGUUUGGUCCGGGGUGUUUUUUGUAUGCGAUGUGCUUCUAUAAACUUUUACUUUUUCUGACUCUUAACUUCAUCCACAAUAUUCUUGCUCUGAAAAAUAUUUAAACUAUCCCUAUCCCUAAUCAAUUUUUGGAGUGACUGAAUUAACAACCCACAGCGAGUAGGUGAUUCUCUGCCCUCGCCAUGGACAGGAUACUGGAUCAACAUAAUCCCUCUUUCAGCUUGCAAUCAAGAAAUGCAACAGAACCAAAUCUCAGCUUUUUGCUCAGAAUUCUGGCAGUAAAGUCAGUCUCCAUGACAAUAAUAUGAAAACUUGUAGUUUUGUAGUACAAACAUGCACCAACACUUUUUUGGGAGCGAAUUUACAUGUACCCAAACCUUGUAAAGCAGUAUUCAUAGAGUGUUACAUUUUGACUUGAGAGAUAUUCCAGACAAUGGAAUUUACACAUGAAAAAAAGGAAUGGUCACAAUCAGUUGUUAGACUGGUUUUGCUAUACAUGUCAUCCAUUACAUAUAGUCAAGUAUCUAUCAGAUCACAGACACCAAUGGCGCAUGCACAGCAUCUCAGGUAACACAUGGCUGAGUGAAUUCUCUGAUUGGCUGGUGACAUAUGUACAUGUUACCAAACAAGGUGAUUCGCAUUUAGUAUAUCCUUCCUACUCAGCAGCAUACAGUCUUUGGCGAAUAUCCGCUUGGCUCAAAGUUGCAUCGACGCUGAAAAUCAGUAAUACAGGGAAUUAAGAUUAGCCAAGAAUGAUAUUAAUAUUAUAUCUGCCAUUGCAGACAAGGGAAAAGGUAUACUACUAAGAUUGAAAUAUCAAACGAGUGUCACAGUUGUCAAAAUAAGGAUGAGUGUUUACCAGCAUAGAACAUCUCCACUCCGUGCAGUCUUCUCAGAGAUCCACUCUGGAACAAGCUCUUUCAACAAUGUCAGCUGUUCUUCGAUUUCACCUGCAGAUGUAACCAUUCAAUGUCAAAAUCCACAUUGCAGGCAUCAGUUAAGCAACAAGGAGAGAGAUUAUAAAUUCACAUACUUCUGUCCACAAUCUUUGGACUGCUUGCAACUAUCUUAUGAAUCAGCUCCUGCUUUGUCAUUACAGACCGCUGUCUUGACUGGUAGAUAAGGAAUACAACAUCAAAGACACUUGGCAGGGAAGCAAUCAACUUCUGCCUUUUAACCUUAUCAGAAAAACCAGUUUCCUUCUCCUCCAUAGCCCUCAGUUCCUUCUGCUUUACCUGAAAUGAACAAAUAUAGCAUUAUUAUAUCAUUCUUUGUUCACAAUCGAGCAAAUUAGCAACUGAGCUAAUUGAUGCUGUCAUUGCCAAGGACUUACCGACUGAAGGAGGGAUUGCGGAAGAAAACUGAGUAAUUCAUCAUCACUAUCAACAGCAGAAAUAGUGUUUUGGUCCUCUCCAUCCAUACUAUCAACCUUUGUUGGAGUGGUAAACAACUUAGCACGAGCUGAUCUCUUUGACAUUUUUAGAGGUGGUGUGCCGUAACCUGCAUCAGAGAUUGGUCUCUUUGGUGUCUUAAGGUCUGGUGUGGACGCCAUUAAUCUCACUGGUGUAGAGGCAUAUUUAGCAGGUGUGCCCUCUGAAACUCCAGAAAUGGAUACAACAACCUUGCCAUCCUCCUCUGGCUGAGCUUCUUUAGAAGCAGAAACAUAGCUACUGGAUAGGGAAUUCCUGCUCAAUGGUGAUAGAACAGUAGACUCAACCUUCACCAAUUGACUGGUGGCGCUAGCUGUUGCAGAACUGAUUGGAGACCUCUGCGAAAACCUUCUCUUGAAUGACUGUGACAUGUGUGACAUCAUAGUAGCCUGUUGUCCAUUGACAUCAGAAGCCUCGAUUGGGGAUGCCGGUUCAGGAACAACUCUUGGGGCAGCCUGGGGCAUGCUCAAUCUUGUUCGAUUAAAUGGAUGUGGCAAUUCAUGCUCUGGAAUGUCAUCUCCCUGAAAUUAAUAACAGAUGAACCAUGAUUCUAGCCUUCCUCCGAGUAUUAAGUAUAUGACUACUUGAUUACCAUCAUCAUUUCAGGUCCAAUCUAACACUAUUUAUAAAGCGACUGGUCUAUUUUGAUUUGAAUUUUUUUUUUGCUUUUGAUAAGCAGCAAUCAACUGUGAAAUAUAUAAGAUCUCCAUACCUCAGGAUGGUCCCUGAAGAAAUCCACUAGCCUCUGCCUGAAGAUCCUUCUCAAUGCUGAGUACGCAGUUUCCCCCUUUUGCUUCUUGACGCUCUCAACCGCACCAACCACGAGGUUCACCUGAAGAUCUGGCUUCAUACAACAUGUUGUGUCAUCGCGCAAAAGGAUCUUAUUGAUGACAAUUGCCUCGGGCAUUACGUACUUGAGCUGCGCAAGAUGGCUGUAGGUAAAUCUCCUGCAGACAGCAUUACGAAAAUAAGAAAUUGAAUUGUCAUAAUCCAUUGCAGCAGUAGUUCAAUGACUAUUGGUGAGACGAGAUUUUUACCGUUCAGACAGAUGCUGGAUGCUAGCGCAGAUAUUGGGGAAAGACGCCUUGGAUCCCUUCAUACGGAGCAGCCGAGUGGAGCUCUCCAGGCAGUUGAAGAACUCACAAAGCAUCUCAUAACUGAUCACAGCAGGACACAAAUAACACAAAAAUGAGAUUAAUAUCACCACAAGCGAAAUUUCACUAGGAAUUCUAGAGCUAUCUUAGGUUUCGAUUGUGGGAGUAUAGAAGGAUAAAAACUGGAUCCGAAAUACAUAAAUAUUACAGAUCUGUACCUUCCCGGCAGCUUGACUUCGGCCUUGCGCUUGACGGGGCUCUGGCUGGCCCCGGCGCCAACACCGAGCUCCCGCUCGAGGGACUCGAGCUCGUCCGCCUCCUCGGCCGCUGCCGGCGUUCCCUUCUCCGGCCUCCGCAGCCCGAGCGCAGCCCGGCGCACCUCCUUCACGGAGAACGCCACGCUGCGGCUGCGUGCCCUCGGCAUCUCCUCGGGCUUCUCCGGCGUCCAGAUCUGCUCGGCCGCCGCCGCCACCGUGACCCUCGGCGCCAGCUUCUCCGGCGUCAGGAUCUGGUCGGCCGGAGCGGCCUUCCACGGCUUCUGCGGCGUGGCGCCGGCAGCCGCCGAUGUCUUGGCCUUCUUGGACGGAGUGCCGGCGUCCAUCUCCAUCUCGGGGAGGGGAGGAUUGCGGCGGCGGGUGGGAGGGUUUGGAUGGGGUUGGGAUUACCUGCGGUGAAACGGGGUACGGGGCGAGAUGCAUAUAUGGUCACGCGGGUUACCGGGUGAUGGCGCCAAGACUUGGCGGGAACGGGAGAUGGCGCGAAGGCAUGUGCGAGGGCCACGUGGGGGCGGCACGCGGGGACGUUCGCGCCAAGAUGGGGGCGUCCGUUCGCGCCACUUUCCCCCCGCAGCAGCAAAAAGCGCGCGCACACAAGGUGAACACGGAGCACGCUAGCCCAAGCCCAAGUUGGUCCAAAAGACUUCCAGGCCUGAAGCCCAUGAUUGACCAGGGAAUACGGAAAGAGCAGGCCCGCGUAGGGUUCUCGGUAUUUGCAGUUUGUUGUAAAAAGGACGGUUUGGCUGGCAGCAUACUUUUUAGCUUGGGAUGUGGAUCUUUAAGCGAAAUGAUGUCGAUCUUUGAGGAAAAAAGGAGAGAAAACAUCCGUGGGCUAGUUUCUGGACAUCCAUCACGAAUCCUGAUUUUUUUUUCUGUCAAGAAAAAUCCUGAUUUUUCUCUUUAUUAUUUUAAAAUAUUUUAGGACAAUAUAAAGGCUAGAAGGUUGAUUAAUCUUCGACCACCCGAAAAUCGCGGUGCGAGAUCCAGCGUUUGAGCUCUAAUCGAUCCGCCCAACACUCUACCAGGAUAUGACCAACUAGAUUUUAAGGGCAUCUAUGUCCGUUCCGUAUUUAAAAAAAUUAUGAGAGUGAAGGAAAUUGAACUCAAGAUCUCAUUAUUGGAACGGUAAUGCUAGAGAUAGGACGUCCGACCCGUCGGACGUCCUAACCACCAUCCAAACUGGCUCUCGAUGCAAAAUCUUUCUAUAUCUCUCUCCCUCUCUUUUCUCUUCCGUGCAGGCUGGAGCGCCAGGAGGAGUUGCUUCGGCCGCCACUCCCCCACGCGGCGCGGGUGAGCCACGCCAGCCGCCGCUCCCCUGCGGCUUCCCCCGCGCCGGCUGCCGGAGGAGCUCCGGGCAGCAGGCGAGGUGCACGCGGUGGGGCCGGGUCUUCGCUCCCCCGCGCCUUCCCCGGCCCCAGUUGCCGCUCGCCUCCUAGGGGCGAGCCGCAUAGGCCACCAGAGAAGCUCUGGGCGGCAGCCAUGGGGGGCAGCUCUAGGAGAUUGCAGAGAAGGAGCGAAGUCUGUGGCAGGGGAAGCACUAGGUGGUGAUGUUGCAAUAGUAUAUCAUGAUGUUUUGAAAUUGUGGCCUAGUAUAGGCCCAUACAUGGCUGGUGAUUGGGUGGCCCAAUUCCAUAUAGGAAGCCAAGGUGGUGUAGUAGAAGUGGCAUAUGGGACUUUAGUCCCACAUUGCUUACUUAAGUGGACAUAUACUAACAUAUAUAUGGGGCUUUGUGAGUCUCUACACAUGUAAAACAAAGGGAUGAAGGAUGCUAUGCUAUGAACACACACAAGCCACACGCGCGCGCGUUACGCGUUAUUAUCGCGUGACUUGCGACUUGCGACGAUGCGCGAUCGCGUCGUGUCGUGUUCUCCCAACAGUUUAGUUUUGCCUUUUGCCGUAUAGAGGUCCCAAGGGGCGGUUCCUAGGAUUUAGGUAGAUCGAACCUGAGAGCCAGCGAACCCCCCCUCUAUAUAUGGAAGACGUCCUAUAUACGGGAGGUGACCGGUGACUCGCAUCUGACUCUCUCUCUUUCUCUGCGCCGCCGCGUUCAGCCCUGCCGUCCCUUCGUCCGCUGUACAGCGGAUUGAGGGAGAGCGGUGUCUCCGAACCGGUGCCGGCGAAUCAGGUUUCUAGAAAGUGCGCUCGCACGUCCGCUCGAGUCCUUCCUCUUCAUCGAUGGUUUCUUCGUUGCAUCCGCGUGGGAUCCACUGUAAGUUAAUCCAGUGUUCCCUGCAAUUCUUUUAUGAUGAUCUCGUGGCUAGAUCUGGUGUCUGUUUAUGUCACAUGUAUAGUUUUACAUGAAUUCAUUCUGAUCUGUGUAGUACUAGAGCUAUUCAUGUUAAUCGCUAGUAAAUGUAUAUUCUUUUGUAUGCUGCUAUGGUUGUACAAAUUAAUCUUAAAUCCUGUUAAUUUUCUAACGGAUGUUGCAGCAGAGAUUUUGGGAUGUUGCAAUGGGUAUCUAAUGGUGUUGCAAUAGAUAUCUUUGGAUGUUUAGGAAAUAUUGCAUGAAACAUGCGCGUUCGAUGUUGCGGCGGGAUUUUUUUUGUCAGAAUACGAUGCUUAUAUUGAACUAUUUUUUUCGUAUUUUUUAAUAUUGCAAUCUUUUUCUAUGUUUAUGUUUUGUUUUGAUAUUGCAACGGAGCCCGAUCCAUCGGACGUCCAAGCGCCCGUUAUUGGAAUCCACUACUCGCAUCUUUCGAAAUCAAACAUAUGUAAAUCCAAUUAUCCACAUGACAGCUCAGCUGACUAGGCGCCACGAUCCACAAGGAAGCGCUAGCUAGAGCCUAGCUAGCCUAGAGGCGACCGCAGUCAAAGUUGGCAUGCCUGAGCGACUUGCUGCCUAAGAGAACCAGCACGGCCACGCAGGCGAGCUUCACGGCCGGCGACGGCGAGCGCACCAGCAAGACCCCCAUGAUGUACGACUCUAGAGACAGCAACACCAGCCGCAGCCUCCUCUCCCUGAUGUACGCCCCGAUCGCCCCGCCGACCGCAGCCUCCCCGUCUUCCCCUUCCCCCGCGCCGCCAGCGGCCCGCGCCAGCGUCCGGGCGAGCACGACGGCGUCCUCCAGCCCCGCCGAGCCGCCCUGGCCGAUGAACGGGCCCAUGGCGUGCAUCGCGUCGCCGGCGACCGUCACGGCGCCCUUCUGGAAGCCGCCGAGCGCGACCUCCCAGGGCGGCCGGUACCAGAACUUGGUCACCAGGUUGAGGGACUCCGGGUCCGACCCCCGGACCACCUCCGUGAUCUCGGCCGGGCACCGGUGUUCCUCCAGUUCCUUCAGCACCAGAUCCCUCACGUCCCUCAAGUCCGCGCCGGCGAGCCCUGCAUCUGCACGUCAGGUGAUCAGGUCAAAGGUCGGUUGCUGAAUUCCAGAUCGAGCGUGGCUGCUUGCUGUUCAGUGCUCGUACCUGGGGAAGGUGUGGGCAUGGUGACGAAGAAAUGGACCAGGUUGUCAGUGAUCGUCAGCCGCCCGAUGAAGAAAUCCCCGACCCUCAGGCGGAGGAACUCGUUCUUGAAGGGGUGCCCGUGCGGGUAGCUCGUGAACCCGCGCAGCACCAGGCGAGGGAUCGUCCUCACCGGCGGCAGUCCGAGGUACCUGGCCACCACCGAGUUCGUGCCGCCGUCGCACCCGAUCAGGACCUGCAUUGUAUUUUUGACGAGAGUUUUUUCAGACGGAGAGUGAAAACUAGUCGCCUGAAGAUGGCAGCUCGAUGCGUGUGGUUGCAGGUUUGCUGCCGUGUUACCUUGGCCUUGAUGGUAGCGCCGUCGGCCAUUGUAAGGACGGCGGCGCCAUGGCCGCCGGGAUCCUCGUGGACGGCGGCGAUGCGGCAGCCGAAUCGGAUAGCCCCGGCAGGGAGGUCCUUGGCCAGCGCCUCGAUCAGGUCCUUUCUGUUCAAGCACCGGAGCUCCGUCCUGGCCGAACCAACAAGAUUAUUGAGUGGUUAUUAUGGUAUGUUGUUUGUCUGGGUCAGUUUACUCUCUUACGACUCUUUAGUUUUGUCCUAAGUUAGAUUUUAAUUGCGACCAAAUUUAUUUAAAAAUUAUAGAAACAUAUACAACAAUUAAUUAAUUUCAUUGAAUCUUUGCCUAAACCAUAUUUUAAAACAGAAGAAUUGCAUGCUAACCUGACUGGAUACCGAUCCCGGGUACUCUUGUCUCCCUGCAGCCACACGUCAUGAUACCUGAAAUGAUUUUCCACCUGCGUGUUAUACAUACUAGUAGGUGACUUAGUUAAAAUUAGUGGUAAGGCUAGGAACAUACGAGGUGAUGAGACCGGCGGUCUUCCGGAGCUCUCCGGCAACGCCAAGCUGCUCGAGAGCUCGCCACCCGUUGGCCUGAACACCGAUGCCCGCGCCCUCUGCUCGCAAGACCUCGGACUUCUCCAGCACAAGGCUAGCGAUCCCUUUCCUGGAUGCGGUGCAAGUCAGCAGCAGGUUAAUGACAGAAGACUUUUCCAUUGCGCCAUCAUCCGGCCCUCCAGAAACAAAAGUCUUUUCCAAUGCAAAUUAUUGCAUGGUCUUACUUCUUACAUGCUCCAAGAGAUCAUAGACAAACAAUGCUACGCUAGCCGCAGUAAGAUGGAAAACUAACAAAACGAGCAAGCGAGCUCACCGGUGGAGAGCGAGAGCGGUGGCGAGGCCGCAGAUGCCGCCGCCGACGAUGACGAUGCCAUGCGCCUCCGUCAUGUUUCCUUCUUUCUUUGUUUGCUCUCCUUGUGUAGUUGUGUGGGCAUGCGCCCUGGACUUAUAGGAGGAGGAACGUAAUGUGCUCUACAACUACAACCGCCCCGAGCCCACGUGCGUCAUCGUAGUGAUUGAACCGAAGUUGAUCAGGCCGGCAGCAUCGCCGCCACGGGGGCACACGCGCCCCCUCUCCAACGGCGGUGGUCGGGUGCCGUCGGCCCUCGGCCGCCGGUGGCUGAUUCAUCCCGGACUCCACGCGACCACACAGGUGGCGGUAGGCUCGGCACGGACGGGACGGCAGCAGUGACGCCAGCAUCGGGUUCCUCCUCGCAGACCUCCACAGCGGCGAGUUCGUCGGGCCACGCGUCCAAUCCUGGUCCGCUAGCUAGCCAGCGGAGGCAGGCCGUGCGGAAGAAGUAAGCGACCGGAAAUCAAAGGCGACCGACUGGUCAAGCGAUGGGGGCGACGACCACCGCGCGGCCACGCCGGCCGAAGCGGCCGAGGAUGGCGGGAGGAUUCGACCACCUGCUCGGGUUGGUACAUCGUCGAGCUCCCCAACCGCCCAAGUUCGAAUCCGGAAAGUUUGAUUAUUCCAGAAGCCGCUCAUCUUAAGUGAAUCGUCAACGGCGCUGCUACGGUGCGGGAUUUUUCCUUUGGACAAUCUGCUGUUGCGACGUGGAGAAUCAGAGACCGCAACGCGAAAUAUUUUUUUACCUUUUGCGACGUCCACAAAUUUAUGUUGCAAAGAGUAGCUCAUUAACGUCUUGAUCUCAUACGAUUACGAGAAGAAAAAAAUUCCCACCACAUCAAAUGAAGAUGUCUAACGCAUAUCCGAAUUCUCUAAGAACUAUAACCUUGCAAAUUAGUUAUUGAAACAUGCAAGAAUGCCUCAUGCAACAUUAGAAAAGGACUAACGCAAAAUAAAGUGGACACUUGCAUCACUAGCGACAUGGCAUUGCAGUAAUAUCUCCAAAUAUCUACUGCAACGGUAUGGAGCUAGAGCUCAGGCCAGCAACGUUGGCUUCUUCAACUCCCACGCCAUGUGAAACCUCCGCGCCAAGUUUUUAGCGAACGUGCCUAAGCAUAUAUUUCAUUAAGAGGAAAAGAAUUUUGCAACGCAAUAUCGAGAUAAUCCCCGAAGUGCAGAGUUACAACGAUACCACGUAGACAGAGGCAACUCAAGCUACCAACAUAGGAGAAAGCGACCAUCUCAGCUGUAAACACAUCCAAGAAAAAGGUAAACACCACCUCCACCACACAAUGGCUAGCCUAAACUAGCCCUAAGCCAGUAGCAACUACCCUGCCAGAAGAAAAGUGAAAUGCCGAAACACCAAGAAUGGCACCAAGGGCAUCAGCAGCGCACGGAUAGAACUUCAAGACGAUGCCACCCAGAAAGACAUGACGCAAAGCGCCAUCUCCGUCUACCUGACAAACAGACCAGGUUUUCACCCGAAGAAUGGAAUCAAAGUCGAAAAAUGCCUCCAGCGAGGACAACGGCACCAGAAGGUGUCGCCAUUGUUAGCACCAACUGAAGUCGUGCAAGGCUUUCGCCAUGGACCCAAAGACCCCUCUCCAUGCUGGACAAUGCCGUCGGAUCUACAGAUCUAACAAGCUGAAGCAGAGCAGGGUAGUAGCAAAGCAACGAUAGGGGAACCCAUCCCACGACCAGCAAUAACAACAUCGACCAUGGCGGAGGCGGUAGGCCCCCGACAGCACCAGAGAGGAGGCUGGAGGCUGCAAGCCCGGUGCAGGACAGGAAGCCGCAACCACCAGGGACGGUGAAGCCGCAACCACCAGGGACGGUGACAAACCAGACACAGCGAUCCCGCACCCAGGGCGGGUGCCUCGGCGGCCGGCAACCGGGCAAGAGUACCCAAGAGGCCAGAAGCGGGGGCCGGCGGCGACUGAUUGAAGGGGUGCACCCGAAACCGAUACACACCGGCAAGGGCGGCCCCCGGCGGCUAAGCCCCCCAACCAAAGAAGCGGUGCCUCCAUGAGAAGAUCCGGGCGUGGGGACCACAGAUCUGGCGAAGAGACGCGCGGAUGCGGCCUUUGAUGACCAGCAGCGACCAAGACGGAGCCGAGAAAGACGACCUAAGUUUAGAGCUGAGAGUAAAAGGGAAGGGGAGAGGAGGAAGCAAGCUGGGCCGACUUCGACUUAGCCACAGGCCACCGCUGCUGCCUGGCCAGCCGGCCGGCCGGCGGCAGCGGCCUGGGGCUAGAAGGGGCGCUGGUGAGCGGAAUCGCCCCCGAGUCACUAGGGAAGGCGGGGGGGGGGGGGGGGGGGGAGUUCUCUCCACCAGCUUUGCUCUUCAAGCAAGUGAUUACCUCCUCCUCGUCAUGUACCUCAGGGAGGCCACCGUCGUGCACGUAAGCCCUCGUGUUGCAUGUCAGAGUCGAUUAUUCUUGUGUUUGCGGUUUGCAAAAAGUCAUUAUGCGAUUGAGAUUUGUGUAGGUUUUGCUUAGCUCUCUAUUUAUCCUCUCUACGAGCAGCGUUGACGACCAUGGGGAACAACGCACAGGGGUCAUGGUUGUGAUGAUUGUGGUGGAUAAACAAAGACUUUGUUAAAUUUGAUUGGAAUAGUCUUUUUUGAUAGGUUUAUCUUUCCCACUGAAUUUGCUUCACAUAAUAUAAAUUUUGGUGUCAACAUAGGUAUAAGCAGGGGCGGAUCUAAAGGGGGGCUAGGAGGGCUCAAGCCCCACCUCUCCAAGAUCAAUGGAUACCCCGUAAGGCUCCCUCCAUUUUUGGGAAGAAAGAAUAAAGAAGAAGGGGAGGAAGAAGAAGAGAAGGAAGAUAGCCCCUCUUCACUUCCUGGCUAGAUUCGCCACUGGGUAUAAGAUGUUCUCGAGCAUUUAUUAUAUUUUAGAAAAGAAGGUUUGCCACGUCUAUAUCUUAAGCGUGCCGUGAUUUCUUAGGUACGUGUUUGGUUCAUGUUGUAACAAUGGAGAAUGGACGAUGCUAUCUAUUAGGUGCCUAAACACAAGUUUGAUUUUAGGCGAUGAAUCUGCACCCUUAGAUCGCGAUUGGACGUUUCUUUUGCGUCUUCAUCCUCCCUCUCGGGUCCCUCCUCAUCAUUUCCAUUGAAGCAAAGAGAAAAUGUGCUUAUUAUUAAUAACUUUGUGAAAGCUACAGUGUAAAGAGAAAAUGUGAUGUUCUGAAACGACCGGCCCAAGCUCAGCACUUGCAUUUCCUCCUGAGCGACAGGACGUGCACGAGGGCUCCCCUUUAGCUCCCAUCGCUGAUCAACCGGGCGAAGUACGCCUCCGCUGUCCUCACGAACUCACCCAUGUCGAUGCCGGCGCCGAAGUGGCGCACCAGCAGUGGCUCGUGCACAGCACGGAUUGCCCUAGAGAACCACGCCACAUCGCAUGGUGGCGGCGUGGCCGCCGACGAUCUCGAAUGAGCCCUCCGCGUCCACGAUCUCCCGCACCUCCUCCGCGCAUGGCUCGUACGCCGGGAUGUUGUACGAGUCCAGCUUCACCGAGUCUAGGAGCCCCUGCGUGCGUGCCAAGGUUAGCGGCCAAUCAAUCUUGAUGGACUCUCUCUAGCUACUCGUUUCUUGCUCGCUCAAUUACAAGAUGUCGAGCAUGGAGGUAGCGAUCACCCUCGCGGCCAUGUCGUUGAGGAUGUUGUUGGGGUGGUCGUGCAUAGCGCUGCCCGCGCUGCGGGGGUCCCUGGCCGGCCGCCCCUUGAGGGCGACCAGCACCCAGCCGCCAGCGACCACCUCCACGGCCCGCGACUCGAGGAACAGCGUGAGGUCCCGGUGGAACUGCCGCCCGUACGUGCCGAUCGCCGCGGGGAAGCUCGUUCGGCUGGCCGAGAUGCUGCCUCGAUUCACCAGCUCGCCGGAGGCCAGCUCCGGGGGAACCUGGGAGAGCCAGUGGAGGCCUUAGGAGGAGCAGGCUAGGUGGAGGCUCCCCGCCAGGAAGAGCCGGCCGAAGAAUGACCCCGGUGCGCCGAAGACGAGGAUGUUCCUGACGCCUGCAGGCCCCUGUCAGCUACUAGUGUUGGCAAGUCUACGCAUGGGAUGGAUGCGCCGCGACGCACCACAAGACCCAGGAGGCCCAAUGUGCACCUGGAAGGCCUAGAAUGGGUGAAGCCCGUCACGGCGGCCGCUGGAAGCGUAUGAGCUGCGUGCGUGAGUUGUGUGCUCGUGAACUUGUAUACGAGAUAUGAGCGAGGAGAGAAGAGGCAUGUAUGAAUUAAACCAAAAACUAAUCCUCUGGACAAUCUAUCCUCCUCAAGAACUCUUGCUCCGAUCCCCAAUUUCUUGCUACCCUAUCCCCAAUUCCCCUUCUAGCUAACACCUGGUAUCAGAGACUAGGCCCUAGAUUCCCCUCCGCAUCAUCACCACUAUACUCAUCUCCAGAAAUGUGCGGGCGCCAUGGAUCCCAAUACCAAGCUCAUCCUCAAUGAACUCCACAAGGGCUUCUCCGACAGCGACCUCAAUUGGGAGCAACGUCUCCUCGAUCUCGAGAAGCGCCACGACAAGAGGGUCGGUCGAUUGGAGUCAACGGUGGCGGCAUUCGAUGAGUGGAAGCCACAGAUUGAGGCUUUCAUGGAGGACAUCAAGAUCGAAGUGGGCAAGUUGUCUCGCCAUUGGGAUCGAUCCGUCCACGACCCCACCUUCGUCAACCCCGGCCUCAUCCCCAACCCCAAAUCAGCGACGGAGCGCCUACCUGCUUCGGAUGCAUUCGCUAACGGCCCUAAUGGGCACUGCUACGAUACUGUUCAUCGGGAGGAUGGAUUUAGAUUGGUCUUUGUCCAAACCCAUCUCCCGGUCAAGGGUACGUGCCAUUCCACCUCACUACCUCCGCCUGGAUCGAAUUCUCGCUCGAUUGAUUUUUUCUGUGGGUAGAUCACAUAGCUCUGUUUCUGCUGGUCAUUCUGCUGGUGCUCGAAGUAGCGCUCGAAGGUGAAUAAGCACUCGGGGCGGCCUCACGAGUACUUGGAGCGGCCUCACGAGUACUCGAAGUACCCUCCAGAGUACUUGGAGUGGCCUCAUGAUUACUCGGAGUCGCACCAGCGGGAGCAGGGAGAGUCGGGGAAGCAGUCGGAAGGGUCGCCUCACCCUAGAAGUACUCGAAAUGGAGCUUGUAGUACUCGAAGACAUACCAGGGGAAGUCAAAGAAGUACUCGAGGGGGUAGCUGACUCCUCCACAGCCACCGCAGCUUCCACCAGGUACUUAAUGACGAAGUCGGAGUUGCACCUGGUGUUACCAUCUUCCUCCUGCAACCAGCUCCAGCCGCGAUCUUCAUCAAACACAACAUCGCGCGUUGUGCGCACACGCUGUGUCACCGAGUCCAGCACCCGGUAGGCCUUGACUCCUUCCUCGUAGCCAAUGAAGACGCCUGGAGUCGACCGAUCUUCAAGCUUGCUACGAUGCCCGAGUUCCUUCACGUACGCCAGGCACCCAAAAGUGCAUAGGAACUGGACCGUCGGCCUGCUUCCAUGCCACGCCUCAUAUGCCAUCUUGUCGGAGAGGGCCCAGGUGGAUGAGCGGUUGAGGAGGGACACCGCCGUGCUCACCGCCUCUGCCCAGUAGAUGGCCGGCAUGCCCCUCUGCUUCAAUAGGACACGCUCCAUAGCCACCACCUACUGGUUGCGCCGCUCCACCACACCGUUCUGCUGGGGCAUGUCGGGCGCUGAGUGGUGCCGCUUCACACCUUGGUCAGCAAAGUACUCAACGAAGGAUGCCGACAUGAACUCGCCGUUGUUGUCAGUGCGGAACACCCUCAGCUUCCUCCCGCACUUGUUCUCCGCAGCCGCCUUGAUCUUCUUAAUGGAUUCCGACGCGCUGCUCUUCUCUGCAAGGAAAGCCACCCACAUAUACCUCAUGGCAUCAUCUACCAGCAGUAGAAUGUAGCCCCAGCCUCCUGGAAUCGCCAGCGUGAUGGGGCCGCACGAGUCGCCGUGUACGAGUUCGAGCGGUUUGUCCGCCCUGUACUUGGCCUUCUUGGGGAAGGGGGUGCGCCGGUGCUUGGUGGUGACGUAGAUGUCAUACAGUUGCUCAAUGUGAGCCAGCUGUGGCAGCCUGCACACCAUGCUCCUCUGCCCCAUCUGCUGCAGGGCGUCGAAGUUGACGUGCCCGAACCGAUCAUGCCACCGCCAGGCAUCGUGGCCAUGGCGUGCGGUGAGGAAGACCGGCCUCGUGACCUCCAGUCGCAGCACGUACAGCAUGUUCCCGCUGCGGAGAACCCUUGCUAGCAGCCGGCCCUCACGAUCACGGAUCCGCAAGACACCAUCUUCGAUGUGAAUCUUGGACCCGAUCUCGUCAAGUUGCCCGACUGAGAUGAUGCAGUUGCGCAGCUUCGGGAUGUAGUAGUUCCCAUCUAGGGCCUUGUGUUCCCCGUUCCUCCCGGAGAAGAUGACGGUGCCAUAGCCCUAGAUGGCCACGGCCGACCCAUCAGCGAACUUGACCGAGUCGCGCAUGGCCCGAUCGACGUGGGAGAAGACAUCGCACCAUCCCGUCAUGUUAUUGGUGGCCCCUGUGUCUAUGUACCACCCUUCCAUCAACUCAUCGUCCCCGCUCUUUCCUAGGUAGGCUUGAGCCCGAGGCUCCUUGAUGCAAGUCGUCGUUGCAGCCAUUGUCGCAGGCAGGGGAGCAGGCUCGUGGCCAACUCCGUGGUCGCCCGAGUACUCAUCAACCGCCUUCUUGACCAUCUCGACUACUUCUUUGACUUUCUGCACAGAAAACAACUCGGUUUGCAGCUCCUCCGGGUGGUUUUCCAUGCAAACUUGUGCCAUGAAAAGCACGCCUCUUCUUCUGCCUGGGCCAGGUGCGCUUGCCCCUUCUUGGGUUGCUUGCACUCACGUGCCCAGUGGCCAGCACGGCCACAGUUGUGGCAAGUGUCGUGGUGCGGUGGCUUCUUUACUUCAUCACCGUCGACUGCUUUCUUCUUUGGAGCCGGCGGGCAUCGCUGCUGGCUCCUCGUGCCUCCAGUCCUAGAAGAGCCAUUGCCCAACUCACAAUCUCGCCGACCCGGCGCAUCAGCAUACAACAGCUUACCCGAGUCGUAAUUCGAGUCGGCACGGUCCAUGCGGUCCUGAUGCGCCUUCAGAUGCCCAGUCACCUCUUCCGGUGAGGGGGAGGAGAUGUCCAGCAAUGUCUCGAUGGACGUCACCAGAUUAAAGAUGGCAACAGGUAAAAUCCGUGCGGAUAUCAACUUCGUAAACCCGUACCCGCAUGCUAAAAUCCAUGUCCGCACCCGCGCUCGCAACCCGCCACGGGUAGGAAACAACGCCCGUUCCCGCUACCCGUGGAUACCCGCGUGCCCGCGGAUACCCAUACCCAUUCGCAAGAGCAGGACGAAGAGCACCUAGCCUGGGCACGGCAUUGGGCCUUGCCAGCGCGGGAACCUGGGCGCGACCAACGCGGGAACCUAGGCGCGCCUGGGCGCGGGCGUCGGGAGCCGCCACCGCGGGGACCUAGGCGCUGCCCUCGUCUCCUAGGAUGGCAGGGUUGUGUCAGGCCUGGGAGCGGCCAUGCGCCCGUGCCCCAUCCCUGUGCACUGAAUCUGAGCGGUGGGUGGCCAGGCCGUGGCGCGCGUCCCUGUGCCGCGCCCCCAUCCCCAUGCGCCGGAUCUGAGCGGUGGGUGUCCGGGCCGCGACGCGCGUCCCUGUGCCGUGCGGGCGCGGGCACGGCUGCACUCGGUGCUGCCGCGCCGGGUGGCAGGAAGCACGGGCCGCGGUCGCAACGCCUGGGCGGAAGGAGGACGUUGGCGGCCGGCCGGCGGGAGGAACAGCGGAAGGGGGCGGUGGCGCACAAGGACUCGGGGAGGAGCUUGUCAACGAUGAUGGGGACGGCGGCGCCAAGCCCGAGUGGCAUGGGGAGGAGGGGGAAGGACCGAGGCAGCGCACAAGCCAUACGAGGAGGAGAGGGGCGGCGGGCGGCGGCAUGCAGGAAGGGGAAAGGAGGACGAAGACUGGAAAGGGGCGGUGGGCGGCGGCGCACACGGGGAAGAGCGGGCGCUCAGGUUAGGCGGCUAGGUGAGGGAGAAGGAAAGGAAUGAGGAGAUGAGGUGAAACCCUAAACGAAGUUAUAUAUUAGGGGUUUAGGACCAACAUAUUAGUCGCUAAAUCAGGUAUGGCAGGUUUGUGGAUGCAGAUAUUAUUUUUUCAAACCCGUUAGAAGAUAUCUGUCGGGUUUAAGGUUGUACCCGCGCCCGCGUCCGUGGACAUAAAUGCAAACCCAUAUCCGCGCUCGUCGGGUUUGCUAUCCAUAGGCACACAGAUAUUUUGUACCCGUUGCCAUCUUUACACCAGAUGGUCGAACCGAGGUGGCACCGAGUGUAGGAGCUUCUCCACUACUCGCUGCUCCUCUAUCUCCUCACCUAGUUCCUCUAGGUUGAUGACGAGGUUGGACAGGCGCAAUGCAAAAUCAUCCACCUUUUCGCCGCUGCGACACGUCAUGGCUUCGAACUCCCUCGGCAGCUGCUGAGCCCUGCCCUUCUGGACUUUGUCACUACCAACGCACAGCGUCUUGAUGGCGUCCCAUGCUUCUGCAGCCGACUGCUUCUUGGCCACACGCGGCACCAUCUCUGGCAGCACUGAGAGGAUAAGGACCUCUCUAGCCAUGCAAUCUUCCUGAAAGUCAUAGUUGCCAUAUUCAAUGGCAUUGCAGAGGUUGCGGGCUUGGAGCACCACCUUCAUGACCAGGCUCCAGUGAGUGUAGUUGGAUCUCGUUAGCGUCGGGUACUUUACGCCACUCAACUCCUUUACCACCCUCUGAACGGCUGGCCACUCCCCGUACCGACAGCGCCGCCCAUGCGGGGAAGGGGAGGGAUGCCUCCGGUGGCGAUGCAAGGUUACAGAGUCAUUCGACGGUGACCCUCCCCCCCCCCCCCCGGCAUCUUUCUCACCGACCGGCUUCUUCUCCUUCUUCACCUGCUGCUUUGGGUCUUCUGGCCGCUAGUCCUUGGGCGUCAGGUCCUCCUUCCCAUGGAAACCUUCUUUGCCCUCGAUCGGCUUCUUGCUCUCCCUCGAGCCAUGCCUAGACCUAAGGGCUUCCCGGAUGGAGAUAUUGAUCCAACGGAUACUUAACCUAGGAUCUGGUACCAAUUGUUGGAAAUCCACCUCCCACCGAGUGAUUUCUCAGGCUCAACCGAGUGGUUUGCCUAGACUGGGUGGGGAUGAACACACGCACACAUUUGAGGUUGUUUGCACUAGGGCUCUGACUGGAUCCCGGUUGCUGCUGUGAGCUUUGAUUAGAUGUCCCAAGGGACAAGGUACAAUGAAGUGGCGCUGGGUACAAGACCAGACGCAAGUUACAAGAGAGCGGAACUUGGUCCACGGGGUGCAUGCAAGCAGUAAUUGCAGUAUGUCGCUAUCUACGACUAGUCUAUUUCAGCCUAGAUACUGCCUAUAUAAGAGUUAAUGCCCCAACAUGCGAGGCACACCACACACUUCGCCGCGUGCUCCUCCUCCUCCUCCUCCGAGCGCGCCGCCGUGCGGUAUGUCGUACCCGGCGGCGAACGCGGCACCUCGGGGUCGCCGCCACCGCGUGCUCUGCGACGAUGCGGACGUCGGGGCGCCGCAGCGGUGACACGCGCCGAAGCAGCAGUGCAAGGAGACGACUUCUAAGGCGAAGAUCGCGAAGAGCAGGACGAUACCGGCCACGGCGAGGAUGUCGCCAUGCCACCAUCCACCAGGCCGCCGCCAUGGUCGGAAUCUCGUGUCAUGCUACUUUCAGGUUGGAGGGGGCGUGACGCACGCACGUAGUCAUACGCGUGGGGGCUGGCUGAGCGAUCGAGCGGCUACCCCUCGCGCCUAGCUGCAAUGCCCUGGCCAGCGGCUACGAGUUUUGAACUUUUGACUGAUUGGUACUGGCAUGUGAAUGAUGACUGAUUGUCGAUUCUAUCCCACCCUGAACCCAAGUCCCCCGAACAACUUGUCGUGCUGCAAUGCAAUGCUCGAACCCUGGAUCUGUAUGUGGGAUAGUUUUCGUAUGCGCCCCCACGCAUUUGGCUAUCUUUUGAUUGGUUCCUGGAAUUGACAGGUUGCAGAAGCAAUCACGCAAAAUACCUCAUCAUGAGGACAUGAACGUGCCCCGUACCGUGAGUGAAGCGCCCGCUGCGUUACCUUUUGAGCUGUUUAGUUACUGCCUGGAGAGGGCACAUGUUUAAAAGAAAGCCAUGCAAAGGAUAGGAAAUAUACCCGUGCAUUGCUACGGCUACGAGUGAAUGCUGUAAAAAGUUAUGCAGGUUUAUGAACCAUAUAUAUCAUUAUUCUAAGCAGUAUGUUUAAGAUACACAAUUGAACAAAAUUAAAUAAUUUAAGCCAUAACAUCUCAUUUAUUUAAGGACAACCUAACUUCAUCCAAUUAUGAAAAAGUACACUUUAUUGUGGUGAGUUCUUUCAUCCCCUGAAUUUGGAUGUACCCUAGGACUUAGUGAAUUUUAGGUGAUCCAAACCAUAAAAAAUUCAAAUGAUGGAAGAACUCACCAAGAGAAGUACAAGCUCAAAGAUGAGGAGUAGGCUUGUGCCAUGAGUUGAAGAAGAGGAGCCUAGUGCCGCCGCUGCAUGGGCUCGAGGGAGGAGGCUGGUGUGGCGGUGACAACGGAGGAGGUGGAGGCCAGCUCCGCCAUCGUGGGCUCAAGAGAUGAGGAGGCCGGUGUGGUGGUGAUAACAGAGGAGUUUGAGGCUGACGCCAUGAUGAUGACGGAGGAAGCAGAGGCCGGUGAUGCAUAACUUGGGAGGGGGAGGGGAUGGGGGAGGGCUAGUGCUGCGGUGGUCAUGGAGGAGGUAGACGCAAAGCGAAUGGACCCAUUCAGACUAGUGUAUGUGGAGCAGGCCAAGCAACAAGGGAGAACACGCAAAGGUUGCGGACACAUUGUGUGACGGUAAGGGUAGAGCAAGUAGGUAACAUUUUGGUCACAGGCAAUUUUGAAAUGUAGAUUAGCUAUAAGCAAAGCACAUCACUUUUUAUCUAGUUAAAGCCUUAAAUGUGAUACGUUUUGUUAUAAUUUUUCACUUACCAGAACUUGUUUGCCUAAACGAUUGUUUAGUCCAUUUACACAUCGUGUAAACGCUACACUAUAAUGUGUGCACGUGCGUGGUGGCACUGUACGCAUGUUUCUUAUGUUUCUAAAAAGAAUUAAUAGUGGUCUGAAUAAGGUGCUGCAGAGAAUUUUAUAUGCACAAUUCUUGGAAAGUUGCAUACUAUCAAUCUUCUGUGCUAGACUGCCAGCGCUACACGGCGGCUUCCUGGGUUUUCACUAGCCAUUUGGCGGGAAAUAAAUUGGGUGCAGCCCGGCUGCAAACCGAGGCUGCUGCAGCCCUGGAUGGAUUAACGCCACCUGUCCAUCUAAUCGAAUCUUAAGGCAAGUUUGUUGUCACCGCACGGCCUAUCAUGGCUUCGGCUUGAUUAGUUCCAGCUCCGGCUCGAUUAGCUCCAGCCCCGUAAAGGAUUAACCUAACACAGAGUCAUGCCGCCGCCGCCGAUCUGAUCGCAACACAGGAUCACGCCCCCGCCGAUCUGAUCGUUGCUUCCCGUCUCCUGCACCUUCUUUCUCUCCUCCAUCGCAGCCAAGUUUAACACAACGAAUAAGAAGUCACGAGAUGACAGAGCAAGAUGAGGCGGCAAUACAACCUGCACUCCCUUUUGUGCAUGAGAACUCUUCAAUCAUUGAUGAUUAUUGUGGAGUCAACGGCCAGCAAAUUGCACACGUGAGUCACCUAUUUAUUGGAUGUAUGUUUUCUCUAUGAUUUUAUCAUUCACACGAUUGUAGUGCUCAUGAUCAUACGUUACAUGUGCAUAUGUUAGAUGACACAAAACACAAAUUCGAUGACCAUAGAGCAAGAGACGGAUGAAGCACCGAAAGAGCAGACACUGCAUGUAGCAUCAUUGGCGACUGGUGCAAUCACUCAAGGUGAUGACAACACAAUCACGGAAACAACAUCAUCUAAGGUGCGUAUGAACUUGACAUUUAAUAUUUUUUUAAAAAAAUAUGAUGUGGCAAUACAAUUAUUAUUCUAACACACAAAAUAAUUAAGCUGUUGUAAUAUGAUUUUUAUUCUUACAAAUCGUACGAUAGGUUGAUGACAAAAAUGAGCCAAGAGUGGUAGUUCCUGAAGUUGGAAUGACAUUUGAGUCUGAGAAAGAUGCUUAUAACAUGUACAACAACUAUGCUGGCAAGGUUGGAUUCAGUAUUAGAAAGAGUGAUAUAAAGCGCCGAGUAGAUAAAACAAUAUAUUCCAAAAUUAUAGUUUGUAGCAAACAAGGAUUUGCAUAAACUAGUUCAUCAGAAGCCACUACAAGGACAGGAUGCAAUGCUCGCAUUUAGUUUAGUGUCGGUAGAGAGGGUAUUUGGACUGUGAAAAGGUGAUAUCUAAAUACAAUCAUUAUCUAGCUAGUCCAAAUAAGACUUGCAAGCUAAGAUCUCAACGACAAGUUAUAGAAGCCGACAGAGUACUUAUUGCUCAGAUAAGGGAAGCUGGGAUGAAGCCAAGUCAAGUGUUUGAGUUCAUGAAACAAUUUUAUGGUGGCGCCGAAAAUAUUCCAUUCUCAAGGACGGAUUGCAAUAAUAAAAUUGGUUGUGAGAGGAUAAAAUACUUGGAAUCUAAUGAUACACAAACACUGUUGGAAUACUUGAAAAAUAAGCAAAUAGAGGAUCCUGCAUUUUUUUAUGCCAUUGAAAUUGAUAAGCCAACUGCUCGGAUAACAAAUUUCUUUUAGGCUGAUGGUCAGUCUAUCAUGGAUUAUGCAUGCUUUGGUGAUGCUGUGUCAUUUGACACUACAUUUCAGACAAAUAAGUUUUAAAUGCCAUUUGCUCCGCUCCUUGGAACCAAUCACCACAAGCAGACAAUAAUUUUUGGGGCUGCACUGCUAUUUAAUGAAACUAUUCCAUCAUUUAUUUGGUUGUUUCAAACCUUUUUGACGGCAAUGUCAGGCAAGCAUCCAAGUACAAUUUUUACCGAUCAAGAUGCGGCCAUGGCAGGAGCAAUUGCUUCUGUAUUCCCAAAUACAAGUUAUCAUCUUUGUUUGUGGCAUAUUUAUCUUAAUGCAGCAAAGCAUCUCAGUCAUGUAAUUCAUGAGCACCCCAAGAAAUUUUUACCUGCUUUUAAAAAUGUGUGUACGAAGAUAGACCAGAGGAGCGUUUCCAAAGAAAGUGGAAUGAAUUGUUAACUGAUUAUAAACUUGAAGAAAACUCAUGGCUACUAAAUCUGUAUGAUUUGAGAGAAAAAUGGGCCGCUGACAUGACAACAACUCAAAGGAGUGAAGGUAUGAAUAAUGUCUUUAAGAAAAAAUUUUGGAGGAAACUUGGUCUUUCUGAACUUAUUGUCGAAUGUGAGAAAGUUUCUGCUUCCCUUCGUGAAAAUGAGUUGGAUGAAGAUUUUAAAUCCCGUAUAAAGAGCCCGGUUAAUUACAUCCCAGAUUUACCUUUGUUGAAAACUGCUGCUGAGUUUUAUACAAGGAGGAUAUAUGCAGAGUUCGAGGCAAAUUUCAAAUCUCAAUUCUCAUUUUCUUGUAAAAUGUUACAAUCUGAAGGUUCAAUAUCAACAUUUAUGGUUACUCAUAUGCAUUCUCAGGAAGGAGUAACUACUGUAUUCAAUAGUACAGAUAUGUCUAUUACAUGUUCUUGUAGAAAGUUUGAGGCCAUAGGUAUGUAUACACAUGCUGAACACAUUUUGAAUUACAGUACUAAUUCUUUUAAAAAUUGCUAAUCACUUGCUUCAAUAUUUUAUAUAUAGGUAUAUUGUGCAGCCAUGCCUUCAAAGUAUUCAGUGUGAAUGAUGUUUUCAUUCUACCAUCACAAUAUAUAUUGAACAGAUGGACAAAAUAUGCAAAAAGAGGUUUUUAUAUUGAUGAAAAAGAAAGUGAGAAAGAAAACUCGAAAGCACAUGCUGCACGUCUAUCUCGAAUGGCAACAUCACUUGCGUUAAAGUGUUCGGUGUCAAUACCACUUCUUGAUGAGUUGGAGAAAGCAUUGCACAAGUUAGAAUUAGAAGCAGAUGAUUCCCUAAGAAAGAUGCAAGAGAACGACGUAGAAGCAAUCAUGCCAGUACGAUGUCCAAGCUCCAAACCAUUGGCCAGCAAAAUGGCCGCACGAAUUGGCAGCCCCAACCAAGCCCCCAACAGAUAAUCCUGAGUAAGGACUGAGGGCAUGCCCUAUGCCCUGAGCCCUGGCUCAUGGAGAUGCCAGCUGAAUUGACUUUUGAGCCUUCUACUCCUCGUUAUCUACACUUCAAAUAGCAUUAGGGUUCGUUUUACAUUUUCUGCAACUAAACAUCCUGAAUGAACACACAUGGUGGAUAUACUUUCAUUCUAAAAAAAGUUAGUGGCAUUUCGACAUUCAUGUCACAGACAUAGUUCGCGCGGGGACUAAACUUUUGCCAUGCCCGAGGCCUCUCGGUCAUGACAAAAUUUUGAUAAAAUUUGACGGACCUCAAAUUAAACAUGCCAUAGUUUUCUGAAAUCAACAGUGGAUUUCCUUGUGACAUUAAUCCGGUAUAUUGGCAUAAAACGAUUGGAGAUACAAACUUAGCUUUAACAAAGGUGCAAGCAAAAGUUACAUGCUUAAAACACUUGAACUUUCUGUAUAUAUUCGCUCGCAUAUAGCAUAAAUCUUGACACACCUGUAGAACAUCACAGUGCUUGUGUUGGAGCCAUCUAAACCAUUGAAGGGGCCAAACUUGCCCGGUUUUAACCGUUGGAUGGCUCUGGUUAUCCGAUUUUGCAGAUGAAGGUUGAAAAUUAGAUUUUUAUGAUAGUUUAAGGGUGUAAACUGGACUUUUCCCUUUUAGAUAUCAAUCAAUGGUGGAUUUCCAUAUGACAUUAAUCCGGUGCAUGCUAAAUCUCGGCGACAUCUCACGUACAACCUACCACCUCAAGGGUAUUUAUCAGUGGGCUUGACGGUAAAACACGGACAGCAUAUACUGCUAUACAAUAGCAAGUUAGAGAUAGUUGAUUGUUGCUUGAUGCUUAAAAAGUUGGGAGAUAUAAACUUAGUUAUAACAAAGGUACAAGCAAAAGUUCAUGGGGACUAUAAAACACCUGAAGUUUCCUUAUAUAUUCGCCCUCAUAUAGCACAAAUCUUUACACAUGUAGAACAUCACAAUGCUUGUGUUGGGGCCAUCUAAAACAUUCAGAUGAGAUUUAGCUUUUUCCAACUGACCGUGUUUGCCCUAAAGGUUUGCUGCCUGUUUUUCCAAACACAGACACAUGGAAGAGAAAAUUACUUUUCCAGCUUUUGGGCACUGGCCUACUGCUCUAUCGAUCAACCGAGAACGAUGAGUCGGCGCUUCUCCAAUGAUCUCCGCGGUUGGGAGCGCGAAGGACCGGCGGGAAUUUGGCUCGAUCUGACACUGGUUUUGGGCGUGCGGGUAUUUUGGGACGUUGAUUGGGCAGCUGUUGGAGAAGGGUUUUUCGUGUUUGGUGCCUAAACUAGAUUUUUGAAAAUUGUUUUGGACAUAUUUGGAGAUGCUCUAAUGAGCAGCCGCCCUCCGAAGCGACGCUCGCGUCGCCCCAAAAAAAAAGCGGCAUACUCCUGUUAGACGCCCAUGAAUACUGGAUACUUUUUUCCAACCUUAUACGCCCAUGAAAACUGGAUGGAGGGAGUAUAAAAGAACGUGCACAUGCUACAGACUGAGACUGUACAAACGAAGUCUAUGCACAGAGAUCGAAAAUUGUAACUGAUCUCCGAUCCGUGUCCGUCGACCGUUGGCGGUCGGCCCGCCGCAAGUCCGGUUCCGUCGCUAUACGGCAGAUCCCUGGGUUGCACCACCCUGCUCCACGUCGUCUCCUUCGCCGGCGCCGCCGCAGGAGCAAGAGGAACUCGCCCCAACCCCUUGCCUUCCGAAGCUCCACAGCCUCCGAAACGACCUCGGCCUCGCCGAGCCGGCCGGCGUCUUGGCCGCGUCGCGCAGGGUCGGCGCCGGCACGGCCAACGACUCCGGGAUCUCGAUCACCAGCACGGCCGUGGUGCCCGUCGAAGCGCUCGUGUCCCCGUCGGAGGCCACGGUCACCGCGGUGACCGCGCCCUGGUCGGACACCCCGAGAAGCACGCUGGCCGGCAGGUUCGCGGAGUAGUUGGCCGGCUCUGGCUGCACCGGACGGAGAGCCAAGGCAGGAGCGGGAGACGCGUCGGGCUUGGCGACGGUGAGCCGGCAGAGCGGGCAGGUGGUGUGGGACGCCAGCCACGUGUCGACGCACGCGGCGUGGAAGCCGUGGCCGCAGCGGGACAGGAACCGGGCCUCCUCGCCGUCCUCGAGCUCCGCGAGGCACACCGCGCACUCCGCCGCGUCCUCCUCCCUCGAACCCGGCGCCGCCUUGCGGUACACCGUGACCGGCAGGGAGCGCAGCACGUCCGGAUUCACGCCCCGGGCGGCCCGGAUCCCACCGCCGCCGCCCGCCGCCCCUCCGCCACGGCGCCGCGACGCCCGGGCGCCAUGCCUGUCGGUGUCCCACGCGUCGAAGAAGUACUGGAGGGUGACGAGCCCGGCGGCGAUGACCAUGAAGAUCAGGAUAGUGCCGGCCACGGUGGCGAUGCUGCCGGCCGUCAUGACGGACCCAGCUGCCGCCGCCACGGGCGCCGUGGGAGGGCCGGCGGCGGCGGCGCCGCUCGGCCAUGGCGAGUCCAUGCUAUCGUCGCUCGCGCCUGGGUGCGUCAUGCUCGGACCACUUCGGUGUGUGGUGCGCGGCGAAGCGCAAGUGUAUGCCGAGCAGUUGGGAGCUCGCGCAGAUAUACAAAUACAAGAAGCCGGGGGGCGCACGAAGUGUCCGAGCAUUGCCGUGAUGGUGGGGAAAUUGGCGUUGAUGCGAUGGGGCGCGUGCGCGGACGAGGAAGAAGGCGCCGAGAAGGAGGCUGCGGCUAGGCUUGAAACUCUUUGCUGGUGCUUUGCGCGCCUGGGCCAGGCUUUAGGCCGGCCGGCCGGUCAGCGGUGGCGACGAGACCGUUCCACGGUCGCGCGCGCCUCUCAGUGUCAGCUGCUGGCGUCUGGUAGUUGCAAUGCACCGGUUUUUGAUUGAUUUGAGGCGACAUAUGGUUUUAAUUUUGUGGAGAAGAUCCUAAUCUCUAUUUUCUACUCAAAUGAAUAACAUGAUAGUUGUAGUUUCAUCACAUUAAUUCAAAGAUACCAUCCACGUCUUUACUUGAUUAAUAACAUGUUUGGAGCAAAUUAGCUGCUAUUGUUCCAAACUAAUCUAUAUUUUCUACUCAAAUGAAAGAACGAAAUUGAGUAAUUGACCCUCACAAAAAAAAGAAUAAAGAGCAAACUUGUUGUCUAGGGAUGAAAUGGUCGGAAACCAUCGGUGAAAGGCUCAUCACUUUCACUUUCAUAUUUUUUUCAUCGAAAAUGAAAACGAUACGAUAUUAUCGAAAACGAAAAUGGCAUCGGUAUUACAAUAAUUUUGGAAAUGAAAAUAUACGAUCGAGAACACAUUGAUAAUGAUCGAAACUUAUCGAAACAAUAUUUUAAAAAAACGAUAAAUAUGUCAAACUAUAGAGCACAACUCUAACCAUAUGAUUUGACACAUUUUAUGCACAAGUACUGAUGGUUAAGAUGUUAAUCCAAAUAUCCAUCCAUCCAUGACAUGUAUCUCAUUUUAUAGUACUAAAAAUUUAAAUAUUAAUCCCACCAUCCAAGAAAUUAUUCAUAGUCCUAUGAAUUCAGGUCGCUAGGUUGUGAUUUAGGGUUAGAACAAAUAAGUCAUGACUCUAAAAGUAUAUAUAUGAUAUUUAAUAUGGAUAGCAGGGGUGUUGGCUUUGUACGUGGAUACGGUAUUUCUAUCGGUAUGAAGGUCCUGACAAUACGAUAGUUCUCGAAAAUGAUCGGAGGAUGCUCAAAUUAUUUUCGUUUUCACUUUCAUAUUAUUUUACCAUUUUUGCUUUUGUUUUUUAUAAUUAUUUUUAUUUUCAUUUAGCCUUAAAAGUUGAUAAAAUCUUGAAAACCAUUCUCGAAAAUUGGAAAUUAUCAUUUUCAUUUUCACCAUCGCAAAAAUCUAAAUGCUUUAACACCAGCGGUCAACAUGGCACCUUAUUCCUCUUGCAAAAGAUGGCACCCGAAAUGCUUGUUCUCUCCUUUUCUGCCAUGAGUAAACGGCCAUUUUCCAUUUGACCGGUUGAAAGCUAACACGACAAAUCGAACUGUGAUUUUUGCCUUGAUCGGCUGGUUUAUUAAACUUAAAAUUGACAGCGACAUGGGCCAGAAAAGCUUAACAUGCACGAGGAUCAUGAGAUGCGUCAAUGCGUGCAAUGCAUUCAUCCAUGUCACGGCUUGACUUCCAAUCCGCUGGCUGCUUGUUGACAUGGACGGACCGAGGACGACACGGUUGCGUACCAAGCAAAGACUUGGCAAGAAAGAUUUGACGGUGUUGAGGUCGCCGCCGACAAUGAGUUGCCGGUUAUAGAAUCUCCGGCGAAGUAAAUAGACAAGUUAAACACGUCUCGCAAACUAUCCCAAACUAUUAUGAGAUGCCAGAGUUGAAUAAGUAUGUGCUAAAUCUCGAAUUAUAUCUUUUCUCUAAGAUCUUCCUAAGUUUAAUUUAAAAAUAAAAAGGCAUAUGAUUCUCGAUGACGCAAUCGCUAUUGAUUAGUCGAAAGAAGAGGGAAAUAAUAACAUGUACCGCCGGUCCUUGAACUUGAACUUAGAUUAGAGUGUCAUCCCUAUCCUCAAACUUUCAAAAUACACAUUUAGAUUCUUAAAUUUUAUGGAAGAUCCAAAUCACAGUUGUUUAAGCUAAAUUGAAAGUUAUAUAAUUUAUUUAAAUAAAAAAAUUAUAUACAUACAAAAAUAAUUUAUACCAGUUUACUUGUACAAAUAUAUUCAAAUAUAAAAGAUCUAUAUAAAAAAUUGUAAAAUAAGAAACUUAUAUAAUCAAAUUUGUAAAAAAUAGAAAAUAAAGGGCAAUUUUGGAGGAAAUAUUGGGAAAAAAAUAUUCGGCAUAAAGUUUUAAAACAAAAUUUUGGAAAAAAAUUAGAAAAUAUAAGAGUUGAGCAGAAAUUUUGAAAAAUAAAAUUUGGACCCACAUAAGUUGAACACUUUCAUUUUAUAAUUUAAAAAUAUUGAUUUGGACUUCACACGAUACGAUUAGCAAGUUUGAGUACUUAAUGUGCAUUUUGAAAAUUUGGGAAUCGGGAUGACACCCUGAGGCAAGUUCGAGGACUGGCGGUUAGAACCCAUGGAUGCAGCAGAAUGUAACUUAUUGAGUUCACAAAUGCUGACUGCUUUUUUUUAAAAAAAAAGAACAACACAAGUAGGCAUUUUCUUUUGCCUUUUGGUUGCUCAUUGACGGAUCAACGGAGAACGAUGAACAAUUACAUCAUAUGGAAGCUUGAAAUCUAAGAAUAAACAAAAAGAAUGUACAUACUCUAUUCUAAAACUAAAAGAAAUGGUAUAUUGAAUAAAAAAAGAAAUGGUAUAUUGACUGUAUGUACAUCUGCGCUAUUGCAGAGAGCUCAGAAAAUUGGUGUUGCUCUCCGGCCGGUCGGCGGUAGUGCUGGUGCCCUGCUCCAGGUCGGCUCCUUCGCCGGCACCGGCGCAGGAGCAGGAGGAGCUCGCCCCCGCCCCUUGCCUUCCGAAGCUCCACAGCCUCCUGAACGACGAUCUCAGCCUCGCCGAGCCCGGCGACUUGGCGGCGUCGCGCUGGGGCGGCGCCGGCACGGCCGGCUCCGGGAUCUCGAUCGCCAGGACGCCCGUGGCGCCGGUGGAAGCGCCCUUGUCCCCGUCGGCGGUCACCGUCACGGCGUUGAGCGUGCCCCGGUCGGACACCCCGAGGAGCACGCUGGCGGGCAGUGUCGCGGCGUAGCUCGCGGGCUCCGGCGGCACCGGAGGGAGAAGCGCCGGGCGCGGCGGCGCAUCGGGCUUGGUGACGGUGAGGCGGCAGAGCGGGCAGGUAGUGUGGGACGCGAGCCACGCGUCGACGCACUCGGCGUGGAAGCCGUGGCCGCAGCGGGGCAGGAACCGCGCCGCCUCGCCGUCCUCGAGCUCCGCGAGGCACACGGCGCACUCCACCGCGCCCUCCUCCGCCUCCUUGGAACCCGGCGCCGCCGCGCGGUACACCGUGACGGGCAGCGAGCGCAGCAGCUCCGGGUCGACGCCCCUGGUUCUGGUCCGGAUCCCACGAUCACUACCGCCACGGCGGCGCCGCCGCCGCGCGCUCGGCGCGUCUUCCUGGCGCCCCUCUCUGUCCCAGGCGUUGAAGCAGUACUGGAGCGAGACGAGGACGAAGGCGAAGACGACGAAGAGCAGGAGGAUCCCCGCCACGGUGAAGAUGCUGCCGAGCUUCAUGGCACCCGCCGCGGCCGACACGGGCGGCGCGGGGGCGUCAUCGGCGGCGCCGGCGCCGCCGCUCGGCUGCGACGAGCGCGCGGCCCCGGCGGCGCCUUGUUCGGAGUCUUGCGUCAUGCUGCUCGACCGAACUGAACCCCCGGUUGGCACGGCUGGCAAGCGUGGGUGCUUGUCGAUGGAUCAAGCGAGCGCUCUCGAGCUUCGCGAGCUCGCACGCACCUAUAUAUCCCAGGCAGGCGGUGGGAGCCCGAAGCGUUCGAGUGUGAUGCCGUGGCGACGGGGGCAGAGAGGUCGACGCGGCGUGCGCGUGCGUAGCGUAGUGAUGUGACGGGGGAGAGGGGGAAGAGAAGGCGCGGCGAAGCUGUGGCCUGGGGGGCGCUUGCACCUGGCUGCGGCCGCGCGGGCCGGCUUGGCGGCCAAGGCUCUUGCUCGUGGCAGCGUAGCGCGCAGCGCACUGGCCAGGCGAGGCGAGCGGGACCAGCUGGGUCCGCUGGUCAAUGGCGACGGCGAGACCGCGACCGAGAGCGACGGAGAUGGAGGCAUCUUUGAUUCUUCCACCGAGCACCAACGGUUCGUCCGUGCACUUUCUUUGGUUCUUCCUUUGGACGAAACGUGCGCGCGCGGUGGAGUGGUGGUUUUGGGUGGCCGGUUCGGUUAGUUUCGCCGCGCGAGUGAGGUCGCCGUCGUCGUCCGUGACUCCUGAUAUUGACUCGCGAGACCGCGCCGGUGUUUCCUUCCGGUACCGAAUGUUGGCACCUUUUCCUAUCUAAAGAAAAAAAAAGAAUGUUGGCACCUUUUGCUUGCCGCAUGCCCUGCAUCUGAAUUUAGCUACUCAGGUUAGCUAACGAUUCAGAGACUGCAUUGCAUGUAGUAUAAAAAGUUGCUUUUCUGCACCGUGAAAGAGUAAGAUCGACCAGAAUGUCUCCAGACCACUUGUAGUCAAGAGACUCACGAUACCACUAAAAGAGUUCUUCUAGUUAGGGUACAUAUAUGGCAUCUUAGGCCCUCGCCAAGUAAAAGGCUGCCGCAUCUUAUCUCUUCUUCUAAAGCUCAAUUCUUGCUUCUAUUUGACCGGCUGAAUGCGUGCAAAAACCGCAAUGAUCAAUUUAAACUCUUCACGCGCAGUGUGUUAUAUAAAACACUAGAAAGAAAAGAAGGCAUUCUUGUCAAUCAACUAAAUCUCGUUUAUCUAUCAAUGGAUGCCCUGCAACGUUGGAUCUUCACGGAACGCACAAGAUAGUUCUAUGUGAAAAUAUAUUUUCAGCCCGUGUUGCGAGUCAAGGUGGCAAAAUUUUCUGAAUUAGCGGAGCUCCGCGGGGACCCACCCUAUUAUCAGCAGGGAUUGGGGAGAGUUUCCCCCGCGGGGAGGCCGGGGUGGGGUCGGGGGAGGAAUUUGUCCCACGGGGAUCCAUGGGAUCCGAGAAAAAAAACAAGGAAACUAAUCAAAGAAGUCCGACAAAUGAGCCCGAUAUAUAGCAUCCUGUGAAAAUCCUAAAAUGAACUAGAGCGAUGGAUGGAGGGAGGCAUCUUGGAUUCUUCCCCCGAGCACCAACGGUUUGUCCGUGCACUUUCUUUGGUUUUUCUUUUUCCUCUCCGACGCCACGUGAGCGCGCGGUGGAGUGGUGGUUUAGGUUGGCCGGACACCAGUUAGUCUCGCCACGAUUGUGAGGUCGCCGCCGUCCGUGACUCGUGACGAUGCUCAAGCGACCGCGCCGGUGGUUCCUUCCGGUACCGGGUAUCCGCACCGUGGCCGCACCUUUUGCUUUCUGCAUGCCUGCAUCGGAAUUUGUCUACACAGGUUAGCUAACGAUUCAGAUACUGCAUUGCUUGGAGUAUAAAAGUUAGUACUUCGUCUCUGCACCGCGAAGAGUAAAAUCGACCAGAAAUGUCUCCAGAUCACUUGUAGUCAAGAUACCACUAAAAAGGUUUCGUCGGGUCAGGGUACAUAUAUGUCAUAUUAUUCCUCGGCAAAUAAUCUUCUCUCUUCUUCUAAAACUCAAUCCUCACUUCUAUUUGACCAGUUGGAUGCGUGGAAAACCGCUUAACCGCAAUGGUCAAUUUGAACUCUUCACUGCAGUGUGUUAUAAAAAACUAGAAAAAAGUAUGAUUGGUACCCUCCGAUUAAGAUCCUAUUCGGAUCCACCCAGCAAAUCUAUUAGCCGGCUACUUGAAAUUAAUUAAGUUGGACUAGCUAAUCGAAUAGAUAUAUAGCUUGUUAGAAGGGUUUUAGCUGCGCAUUACCUAGUCCCGUUUGCAUCCAUCCUGAUUAAAUUAGCUACGCUAGUGGAUCCAGGUAUACCCUAACUAUCGUGAUAUUUCGGUUUUCAACUGUGAACUAUAAAAACGGACACCGAGUCUCAUCGUACCGUUGAAAUCAGACAAUGCUUCAAGCGUGCGUGCGUGGAUGUAAACAUCCGCGUCCGUAAUGUGUUUUAAUGUGAGUUGAACAGUACCCUAAAUUUAUGCAAAACAAUUUGCAAGAACAGAUUAACUUUGACAUUGAAGAUGGCGAGGGAGCAUCGAUGAAUUUCUUCUUGCAAAGUACUCGAGAUUACAGGGGAACCAAGGAAUACGAGUACAAUGCAUUGCUUGCUGGCAAUGAAAAGACUCCGAAAGAAUAAAACUACAACUACACGAAUCAAAUUUGACAGGAACCAGAAGCUCCUUGUGAAUCAGCCACCACUGUGAGCUGCUCCACUCCUGUGCUGCUGACGACAAGGGCGAUGAGCCAGGGUACUCUGCUUUUCCGGCGGCAGGAGGCUCCGCCGCGUCCUCCUCGGCGAACCACCUGUGCUGGAGCGCGUCUGCCGCGGUGAGCCUCUCGCAGGGGUUGUAGCUUAGCAGGCCGGCGAGGACCUCGCGCCCGGCCAGCGACAGCAUGCCGUCGAAGGCUUCCGGCCCCAUCGGCAGCUGCACGAGGAUGUCCUCCGCCGUGCACCCCAUGAACAGGGGCAUGCCGAUGAGGAGCUCGGCAAUGACGCACCCCAGCGCCCACAUGUCCACGGCCGGCCCGUAGCAGCGGAUGCCCAUCAGCUGCUCCGGCGCGUUGUACUGCGUCGUGCCCGGGCGCCGCUCCGGGUACGCCUUGCCGAGGGGCCUCGCCGGCGACGCGCACCCGAAGUCGCGGACCUUCAGGGCGCCACCGGCGCCGACGAGGAUGUUGUCGGGCUUGUUGUCCCGGUGGAUGGCCCGGCGCCGUGCAUCCGCUCCACGGCGCCGAGGAGCUGCCUCACGCACGCGCGCGCCUCGGCCUCGGAGAAGGGCCGGGUGAGCCGGGGCUGGAGGCUGGGCCCGUCGAACUCCAUGACGAGGAACAGGUCCCCCGUCGCCUCGUCGGCGGCGACGCCCCUGAGCUCCACGAUGGAGGGGUGGCCGCGGCACGCUUCGAGGCAGCCGGCCUCGCGGAGGACGGCCGCGCGGAGGUGCGCCGCGCCGUCCUCGCCGUCGCCCUCGCCGCCUUGGAUCCACUUGACGGCCACCGUCUCGCCCGUGCGGCGGUCCCGCGCCUUGGCCACGACGCCGAAGGUGCCCUCCCCGAUCUCCUCGACCAUCUCGUAGUCGUCGAUGCUCCCGAACUGGAAGAGCGCCUCCGCGGGACAGGCGGGUCCGCCGACGAGCGCCGGACUCUCGAGGCCUGCGGCGGCCGCCGCCGCCGCCAUGAUCAUCAGAGCUGGAUUGAGCCUUGGCGAGCCGAGAGUGUGGAGAACGAGAGAUGAAACAUGCUGCGGCGCGGGUGUCUCCCCUCAAAAACCUCUCUAUAUAUAGGCGCCUCCAAUUCGGAGUCGGAUUUAUGUAGAGGCGUGAUGCAUCGCCCGGACUUUCGCCAGCAACCAACUCUGCCGACCCCUCCAAACCACCAAUCCGAACUCCGAAAGGAACACGGAAAAUUGAUGCCAUCUCGGAUUGAGAUUGAGAUAUGGUGUUGCCUUGCUCGUGCGCUUCCUUCUCCAGUUCGGUUUCUCCGAGGUUGGCAUUUUGGUUAGUUUUCGACGUUAUCAGACACUUUUUCUUUGUGAAUAGCUCUAGCAUGUCUAGGAUUUUUUUAAUCAAGAUCGACCUUAUUUUAUUUUAAUUGAGUUUGGGUGGCACUGCCUAUCUUACAUGAUUCUCCUACUCGCGGGAGUUUUGGUACAAUUAUUCGUGCAUGGAGCAUCUCUAGCACAUCCUCAUAAUACAUAUCGUUAAUCAAAGGGAGCAUGAGGAACUAAUAUUAUAAAAAAAAACGAGGAACUAAACACACAUACACUUGCGCGUGUUAGAGCACAAGGAAGUGACUUGUAGGGUAUUUGAAUACCCUUGAAUUAUCUUGUAUGUGGAUUUUUAUGAUUUUCUUUCUUUUAAAUUGGGCGAGUUUGUUGUUUGAUAAUUGGCGGAUUUUUAGAGUUCAUGAUAGCCCUCUAUCUCCAUGUAAAAUUUUGCUUCACUGUGAACAAUUAUGCCCGGGCCUUUACUUGUAACUGGGAAUACCCCCUUUGUCUGAACUCAGUUGCUAGUCAUUUUUAGUAGUAUUAUGCUUGGUAGUUUUUUUAUUUGUGCUAUUCCCUUUGUAUUUUUAGUAGCACAGUUCGAUGAUGUCAAGAAAAUAUAAUUGAAGAGAGAGAGAGAGAGAGAGAGAGAGAGAGAGAGAGAGAGAGAGAGAGAGAGAGAGAGAGAGAGAGAGAGAGAGAGAGAGAGAUUAUUGAAAACCAAGACAACUGGGCUAGGCCCAACGCCCCAACCUUUAUCCAUCGCACAAAUAUCAGCCCAAGUGCCAAAAAAAGAUUUCCUCAUCCAAGCGGGAAAGUACCUGCGACACUUCAAAACCAGAUUCCGAGCGAAACCCCAAUCCCCUUUGGCGGCGAAGCUCGCCGGCGAUGCGGCCGCCAGCGCCUAGGCCCCCUGCUGCCUCCUCCUCGUCCUCCUACAGCCAGCGCGAGCCCCGCCCAGAGAACCCGCUCCUCCUCCUCCCUUCGUGCCGCGCCGCCAAGCUCUCCCUCGGCUGCCCCCUCCUCGACCGCCUUCUCUCCGGCGGCCUCCCCGCCGCCUCCGUCACCGAGAUCGCCGGAGAGUCCGCCUCCGGCAAGACCCAGCUGUGCCUCCAGCUCGCCCUCCUCGCGCCCCAGUCCCCGCUCUCCGCCUCCGCCCUCUUUCUCCACUCCGACCUCCCCUUCCCCCUUCACCGCCUCCGCGGCCUCGCCCCCAAAUCCCGCCCUGAUAUCCUCGACCACGUCCUCGUCGCCGCCGCGCACUCCCCCACCGACCUCCUCUCCCUCCUCUCCCGCGCCCAGCGCCUGCUCGCCAACCCCGGCCGCUCCCCGCACCGCCUCCCCAUCCGCCUCAUCCUCCUCGACUCCAUCGCCACCCUCUUCCGCGCCGACUUCGACGCCUCCCCCGCCGACCUCAAGCGCCGGUCCGCGCUCUUCUUCCAGAUAUCCGCGAAGCUCAAGGAGCUGGCCUACAGGCACCACUGCGUCGUGGUGGUGACCAACCAGGUCGUGGACGUGGUGGAGGGCGACGCCGGGAACACCGUGGCGUGGUCGUCGGGGCGCCGGGUCAGCCCCGCGCUCGGGAUUGCGUGGGCCAACUGCGUCAACACGCGGCUGUUCCUGACGCGGGAAGUGGACGGCGCCAGCGGGAUCGCGAGGAGGCGGAUGAAGGUGGCGUUCGCGCCGCACCUGCCGGAGCGAGCGUGCGAGUUUGUGAUACGGAGGGACGGCGUGUUUGGCGUCGAGCCAGCGGGAGAGGUAGGCGCUCCUGUUCUUGGAUAAAUGUGUGGCCAUUACCUUUUCGAUGAAAUGUACCUGUGGUGCUUGGUUUGAGCACGGUGUAAAAGAUCUUGCCAUUUUACUUGAAUUAUGUAAUGGAUGGAAAGCAAUGUAAAUUAAAAUUUUGUUGCAACACAAAGUGCAGCUUGUUAAACUCGUCUGGGAAUUGAACAACCAUGUUGGUAAAAAACAUCAUAGCCCCUAGAUUAAAACAUCAUAGCUCCCAGAUUGAAGCCUAGAAUCAGGAACAAUUAGGUUGUUGUAUUCUUGAAUGCUCCUAGAUUGAAACGUGCUAGCCAUGUAGACGAAUGCGCUAAUGUAAUUUAUUGUUUUAGCGAAAAAUUCCUAAUUUUAUUAAUGAUAUAUUUGCCAUGUCAUGUGAGUGUGUGGAGCCUAUUGCUAAUUUGUUGCUGACACAGUGCACUGUAGUACCAUCAAAUCAGUUACCGGUGCUAGACUUCAAUAGUGUGCAAGUGCUUAUGAUGCUACCAACAGUAAUAUACCAUCCGAAGAUGUGGGUUAUCUUCCAGUUGAAACAUUUGCAGCUUGCAUUAAUUAAAUUAAAUAACUGUACCUGGAAAGAUGAUGGCAUGCUUGAAUUUGUGCGUAACAAUGAUAAAGACUCAAUGAAACUUACAUGAUCAGCAAAAUGAAAAAUGUUCAAUAUAAGCACACCAUGUGAAGAUCGAAGAGUAUACCUAAUGAAAGAAUUGACUGUGGUCUUUGGGAAGUAGCACCAGGUUUGAUUAUUGAAUAUCACUUAGUCUGAUAAGGGGAAGCACACUUCUAAAAAUAGUAAUUAUUCUACACAAAGAGAUUUUGCUGCAGCAGUGGUAGAAUUUAUCAGAUCCACCAUCAACAUAUUGUUUUUCUUGGUGGUACAUGACAGACAUCCUCAAUUGCAGUUGAGGUUUGGGUCCGUAUGAAUAAAUUAUUGCCAUAUUACUGCUUUGAGAAAAGAAUAACAAAUCUAAUCGAUGUUAUUGCACAGUUAAUGAGAAAAAACUGGUAAGUAAAAAAAAAGUGAAGCUGGCCGUCAUUGUUUGUAUCUAACAUUUCAGUUCAACAUCUAAAAAAAAUUCCAGUUCUAAAUUGUGUUGUACAUUUUACUUUAAUUGUAUACGGUUGAUACUUCUAACAUUACUUUGCAACUGAAGCAUGCUUUAACACACUUGAAGUAUUGUUAUGUUACUCAAGGUACCCUGUUCCAGAAAACAGGAGUAACCUAACUGUCAUACAUCUAAACUUCAUUGUUGAAGUUUCCAGCACAACAUGCUUCUAUACAAAUGUUCAUUCAUUUCCUUCCUGAAUCAGAUCAGUGGAAAUAUCUUCAAUUAGUCAAUUGUUUGGACAAGUGAGAUAUCUCAUGUGAACAGUUCUGGAGGCAAUUCAAUGAAUUCUUCUGUUAUUUUAACUUCAUCAUAGCAGCCAAUUCAAUGGGCCACUACCUUUGUUGUCUUAAUUUUAUCAUAGCAGCCCUCCAGUGCCACCGCAUACAGCAAAAUUUUUUAACCAAAUGUCUUUUGCUCAAAGCUUUUCUAGGUAGGCAGUUCAAGCCUAUGAUGGUCUGAGAUGACUAGGAAGAUACCUGGGUAGUAAUGUCAUUGUUGGUAGUUGACUUUCUUAGUAUAUCCUUUUUUUUCUUUCAUUCAACAGCUGGUUCUAUAGUUUGGUAUUUAGGUUGAAUAAAAUGUAGCUCAGCAAUUCACCAUUUGAGCUUGGUGUAAGCUUAACAGAACGAACAAAAUGACUCCAUUAGCUUCGCGUCGUGGGUUAAUCAGACUUGGAAAUGUGAACUUCAGUCUUGGGUUCAGUGCUCUUGGCUACAGUAAGCCUAUCGGAUUAUUGGAUAGCCAAGCAACCAGUUUGCAAAAGUUCCAUUGUUCGAUCAAACUCUUAAGAGAUAAGUGGAUGGAGCCAAGCAACUAAUUCACAGAAGUGGAUGGUCUGCCGGCAACCAUCACUGUUGCAUAAUUAAGUUAUUCAGCCUUCUACAUCAAACCUGCUUUAGUUAGGUUGAUCGGAGCAAGAUAACUGGUGAACAGGACCAUGCAAUUUGUAAGCUCCCAAAGCUGUCUUAUAGGACAGCCAUGUUAAGUCUUCAAGGACCUGCAGUAAAUUUCAGGUUAGUGCAUUGUUUUUAACUCGGGUGUGAUCUCCAUAUAUGGCAAGCUAAUCAUCAUGCAGAGCACAUCAAGCAACAGUUCAGAGGCGCCAGGCACAUACAAAAGUUCCUACAAAGUGAUCAGACUAGAAAGACACACACAAAAAAAAAGCACAAGCAAAUCAUCCCUAGCCAUGUAUCUGCAAAUAUGUUAAGGUAUGUUCACUGCAAGCCAGCGCUUUUGCAUAUAUCCUUAUAAGUCUAGGGGGAGGAACCACUUUCUGAUCAUUUGUUCAUAUCAUUUUUAGGCUGACCUGAGUCCAUGGAUAUGCAGAUGGAUAAGGUUGAGUUCAACUCAAACUUGUCGCUCCAGCAGUCAUAUCCUCCAAAGCUUCCAACAAUAUUUUCUUGCAGCUACUGUCGUCAGAAGUUCCAGAGUGCUCAUGCUUUAUGUGGCCACCAGAAUGCGCAUAAGCUCCAGCAUAGCCUUGGGAAGAGGAAUCGAGAGGCUUUUCUGGCAGUAAGACAAGGGAAAGAUGAAAAUGCUGGGAUGGAGGGAAGCUCUGCACUCUCUGCUGAAGCUGGCAGCAAUGUUCCGAGAGGAAAGAAGCAACGUGACGAGGUUUGCCAAGUACUGCAAGGAUCAGGUGGUUCAACAUCAUCUAGCACAAUGAUCCAGAAAUUUCUUCAACAGGAAGUAUUCUUUUUACUUAUCAGAGAAACAUGUUCUCCUUUUUACUUAUCAGUGAAACAAAAACAAUGUUCCUCUGCUGUAUUCUGUUUUUCACGGAAUGCAUCAGUAGCCCCACUUAACCAUCUGUUUCAAAAAUUCUGAUGUUGAGGCUUCUAGAAUUUUGCCCUAUGGUUUUGUUUUGCACAUGGUUAACAUUCUUUUUCUUUGACAGCAGCAGUCCCGUGUUGUGAGGAAUCCUUGUGUGGUUACUUCAGUGCGGUUUUCUUUCUUGUCUCUGGUACGAGUGGAAAUUAUGAGUGCGGUUUUUGCUCUAUUGCAGCGCUGCAGAGCACUCCAGCUGGUAAGUGGAGCUAUCGUAGGCUCGUAGCAGUCGGAUUCAGAUAGCAGAUUGCUUCAACUCUGCAUGUGGUGCGAGAGGUCUCGGUCCUGUUGCCCUUGCAGGAAAUCUCUUUGUAAUUUGUGAGCCUCCGGAUGGUGACUCUGUGGUUCCGUUGCAUGGUUACAUGACGAACAGUACCCGUCACCACGACGCUGCGGGGUUCAGGGGUCCAAACUCUUCGGUAUUGUUUGGUUGAGGAGUGAAGUGGAACGGAGCGGCUCCCUCCUAGAUUUUAGAAACGGAGCCGUUCUAUUCCGUGUUUGGUAAACUGGAACAAAGCGGUUCUAUUUUUUGUUUGGUUGCAAAGUGAACUGGAACAGAGCGGCUCCAUCCUGUGUUUGGUUGAGGAGUCAAGUGAAGUAGAAAAUAAUCACAUUCUCAUAUCUUAACUAAAUAAUCAAUCAAAAAAUACUAAUAACAUCAUAACAUCAUAACAUAUAAUCCAAAGAUUACAGCUCCUUAAGAUCCAUCAUAACAUAACAUAUAGAAUAAACCACAAGUCAUCACGACAUGCAUAUAAUCCAAAGUGCCUUGUUCAUGGAUACAAUCAAAAGCAUGACAUACAAGUUCAUGUCACCCAAAAUAAAGUCUUGCUAUCAUUUGCUAAUUAGCAAGCCUACAUAUUAGCAUUAAUGAACUCAGUAACCAUGGAGAGCUUGUACAACAAUGGCGCAUCCACAAAGCCAUGUGCAACAUUAGGAUGGUUCAACUAUUUAGCCUUUUGCUCAAGCUCAAAACCAGGAAGGCUAUCCACAGCUCCAAACAAACCCGGUGGCAAAUCUUUCUUUGAUGCUACAUCUCGUAUGGCACUAGCUAGGGUUUGAGUACCAUGAUCAAAGGCUUGAACCAGAGGAUCAGCUCCAUUGUCAUCCUUCUUAGCUCUCUUGGAGGGCCUAUUGCCUGAAGCCGCCGUGUCAUCUUUAUCAAUAGUAGAACUAGAUGGUGUCCCAAUAUUCAUCUCAUCCUUUUGUGUACCAUCUUCAACAUCUACAGCAAGAGGUUCACUUGAGGUCUUCACAAAUUGCCCUGUUGCAACACUAUCACCAAAGAUUGUAGCUAGAUUGCCAUAGUAUGGAAGAGGUUUGUUUAUGUACUCAUCAUCACCCUUGUUUCUCUGCUUUCCGCUCUCAUCCUAUUAUUGGACAAGGUAAUUAGUACCUAUAGGAUAACAAUAAUGAUAAAAGAAAAUAUACAAGUACAAUAAAGUUAUUACCUUAAAAUGACUUGUGUACAUCUCAUGAUCAUAUUGGAUGAUAAAGUUCUCUUCAUCCCAAACAGCACCACUCUUGCUCCUAAGUUGAUUGAUCCUAAUGUUCUUUUUCUUCAAUGUUUUCAAGUGGUUGGAAAUCUGUUCAUGUGUUCUAUUGAUCUUAAAAUGUUCAUUCAAAGUCUUAGCACAAGCGUUGAGAUGAACUCUCUUGAAACCACUUGAUGUUUUGGAACCAUCAGCUACAAGAUUAGCAAGAAAAGUUUGCACAAAAGUGGACUGACUUGCUGUUCAAACAGUGCCACCUUUUACCUCUCCCUCCAUUGUAUCAAGCUUUAAAUUGAAAGAAAAUUAAACUAAAUUUCAGCAAUAUAAAUAGUACAAAGUAAAUCUGAUUUCAUCAUUAAAUGAAACAACAGAUACAUAGGUUCAUAGAAAAAAAAUACAUAGGUUCAUAGAAACAAAACAUACAUAGCCUCAUACAAAUAAAAGAGUACAUAGGUUCAUGCAAACAAAUAAAAAGAUACAUAACUCAUGAAGUAUUGGAAUAAUAUUGCUGACGGUCUGCCCACAUGGCAUUGGUAAGUUCUUGCCUAAAAUUAACCAUGAAGGUAUAUUCCGUUGCUUGUCCAUAUGUUGAUGUUUGAUGGGUAAUAAUAGGGAGGUCAUCACUUUCAGAUAUAAUCAAAUCAUCACCGCCAUCUUCUAUGACCCAAUUAUGAAUAAUGCAAGCAGCAACAACAACUUCUACUUGGGUAGGAAAGGGAAAAAAUGGUAUUGCAUCAUCAAGAAUUUUGAAUCGCCUCUUCAAAGAACCAAAUGCAUGCUCUACUGUAACCCUGAGAGAUGAGUGCCUAAGGUUGAACAAUUCCUUCUCAUUUUGUACGGGGUUGCUGCCCCACUCAUUCAAGUGGUACCUCACACCACGAUAAGGAGGCAGAAAACCCGGUUUGGCUCCAUAUCCGGCAUCAACUAGGUAGAACUUGCCUCAUAUAAGGAUAUGUAUGUGAGGUACACUAGUCAUUAUAUACAGUGGGUUAGUGUAAAUGAGCUACUCAAAUUUUAUUUAUUGUACCUUCGGGAACACGAAGACCAUUUGGGCGUUCUAAAGCAUCUCGUAAAAUUGAGGCGUCAUGGGCUGUUCCCUCCCAACCAGCUGUAACAAAUGUGAACCGUAGAUCAAAGUCUACGGCUGCCAUUAUAUUUUGCGUAGUAUAACUCUUCCUACCACGAAAUGCAGCCUCCAUUUCCUUAGGAACAGACGCUCGAAUAUGUGUGCCAUCAAUAGCUCCAAUACAAUCCUAUUUUAGCAUUACAAGAAUGUGUAAGGCCUCAAAAGUGUACCUAGAAUCAAUAAAAUUUGUGCAAACAAACCAACCACUACCUUAAAAUAAGGAUCCCAUCGUGGGUUCCCUUGAAUUUUAGAUGGUGUCGCCGAUGAUGGUGGCUUAAUGAAGUCGUUGCGUAGCUCUCCAAUUGCAUGAAGCACUUUAUUGAAGUACCGACUAACGGUUUCUCCGGACCUACCAAAAUUAGUGGCAACUACCCUAUUCCUAACAUUGUGGCCAAUUGUGUGCAAAAACAUAGCAAAUUGCUGCUCAACACACAUGUGUAUAGUGUCUUCUAAUAAACCUCUAUCCCUAAAAAGUUUACAAAAGCGAAAGAACGAUGCUCUAUUAAGCCUAAGCAUAUUGACACAAGUAACAUCAUUCUUCCAAAUUUUAUCAUUAAGGUACUCAAACCUCCUCCUAUCCCUCUCAUCAAUUGGAGCAUAUCUAAUUUGUCCUACGGGUGUAUGACCAUGGCGUUUUCUUUUUCUACUUUUAAUAACCAUUGCCAUCAUCGAAAGCAACACAUGAGCAGCAGCUAUAAAGACAAUAAGCUGAUCGUCCUCAUCCAUCUAUAUAUUAUUAGACAACAAAGAAAAAUUACCAAUCCACAACACAUGAAGAUAAUAUAAUCCAUUGUUAAUGUAGAGGUAUGUUUCGUGUUAGAAGUAUACCUUAGCUGCAGUUGUUCCUGACUGAAUUAGUAUACCUUAGCUGCAGUUGUUUCGUGUUAGAAGUAUCCAAUCUGAUUUCCCUAUUCAAAAUAAAAGACAUGAAUUAGUUGCUAAUCAAUAAAGACUUAAAAUGAGGGAGAAGGAGGCCAUGGCGUAGGGAGGAGGAGGAGGCCGGCCAUGGUGUAAGAAUGAGGGAGAAGGAGGAGGCGGCGCGGCGGGGGAGGAGGCGGUGCGGCAGGGGGAGGAGGAGGCGACGCGGGGGAGGAGGCGGCGGCGCAGCAGGGGGAGGAGGAGGCGGCGGUGCGGGGGAGGAGGAGGCCAUGGCGCGGGGGAGGAGAAGGCGGUGCAAGGAGGAGGCGGCGGCGCAGGGGAGGAGGCGGCCAUGGAGCACGGGAGGGGGAACGAACCUGGACGGGAGAGCGAGGCGAGGCAGGAGCGAGUGCGGAGCGGAGCGGCUCCAUCCGUCCGAUUUUCUGGAGCGGCCUCGUUCGGUAUCUGGGGAGAAUAUUCUCCGUCGGGAGCCGCUCCGCUCCACUAGUGUGGCAACCAAACAUCUGCAAAAGUAGGAUGGAACGGCUCCGUUCCACUUUGCUCCUCAACCAAACACUACCUUCGAUCAGGUUCAUGCCCUUGUGCCCAAAUCCACCGGCAUGCAUGAACUUUGUUGUUUUACCUUCAAUGAUCUUGCCCUGCUCUUAUAUAAUAUAUAUGGCUCCCUCCUCCGAUCCACUUGGCUGGCUAUAUCUCCCAAGGAGACCCCUGUAAGCCCACCAAAACAUUCGGGAUCUCCUCGAUACCUAAUCCCACUUCUGCUAAUCUCUUGUUGACGACUUUGAUGCAAAAUUUUAGUGCAGCGUAUAUUAUCAACAUUUUUUUAUAUUCUUGAAAUUGUUGAGUUGUUCGGGCUAAGGCAAUGGUUCACGGGAUUGAGGUGUUGGCAUUCGCAUUCUGGUUUAGGAAACAAUAGCAUUACGACGUAAAAUACAAACAACAUUUUUUUUGAACGGAACGAACAAGAUUAACGCGAAUGAUAAACUGUUAAGCUUUAAAAUAUCGCUUUGAUAUGUAAAGCUUUAAUCACUAAAGUAAAAAAAAGGUUUGGACUUUUUUUUAAACUUUUUAGCCACCAUCAUCAAUCAUCAAAUCUUCAUCCAACGGCUCAACUGUUCUUUGACCCUGUACACAAACUCUUUACUCUAUCUUAAAGUCUACUUUCCCUCCCAUUAAAACCUUGAUCCGACGGUCCAUCCUCUCUCCACUCGUGUAUAUCUUGAUCCGAUGGUCCAUCCUCGCUUCACUCGUAUAUAAGUAUGUCCGCCCUGACCCUAAUUCAACAUCCCUAACCUAGCCGCCGCCUCUUCCCCGUUGCACCGAUUCCCCAGAUCUCUCUUGUUGCGCGCACUCACAAUUGCAUCCCUCAUGAUUGCCUAUGUUCAGCAACACCGUUAGCCACCGCAUCACUUCACAUCCACUCCAAUCUCCUCUUUGGCGGCUCAUCGGUGACAAAUCCAUCACCACCUCCAUUGGAUCCGCCAUGUCCAUCUCUCGCAGCUCUCUCUUUAGGAGCGCUAUGCAUACUCACCAAUUCAAUCUCUUUCACUUUGAAAAAUCAGAUGGAAUUUUCCAUUCAAACCCUUUAGAACUAGGGAUCAUAUUAUUUCUCUAACCUCAUGGAGCCGGAGAAGAUGGAGGUCGCAAAAGCACAAAUCGCGACACACGUAGUUAGGUAAGCCAAACUUCUCUAACAAUUAAGUACCGGAGUAAAUAUAUAGUAAAUUAAUAGUGAUGCGUAGAUCAAGUACUUACAUGGAUUUGGCAUGAAGCCGACCUACCGAAUGGAGUACAAAUUUUUCGCCGGGCGCAAUCCAUCCGUCGAAGCACAGUAGCGCAUCUCUCUUGGCACUUCACACUGUGCCCACGAUCCCAGUAGCCAGUAGGAAGGAGUGUCAGGAUCGGGAUCCCAUCGCCACAGAAGAUCCCUGCAUCCUUGACUAGGCACAGUGUCGGGCGCCCCACAUGUGUAUGUGUUUCUUCACCAACCACGAACUCUAUUGAACCAGGCGAACCCACUCCACUGAUUGGUGGGACGCCAUUCCCGAGGCCCACCUGUCAUACGUGCUGCCUCACCCCGCGCGACCCUCACCGACAGCCCGGCCCAUGCAGACGGCGGCCCACCAGUCAGUGGUUCACCGGAAAUGAGCGGCAGUGCACAACGCCCAAUUGGGCAAGAAAUAUCCUAUCAUCUGGUCCGGCCAUCUUUUCCCGUAGCCGCCGCCGUCGUCACGCACCCCACCACCUCGUCAAUCCCCACUAUUCCACCCACCCACUGACCAGCGGACCCACGGAAGCGGGACCCACUCGUCAUUGUCCUGCGUGGCUGGACCUCCGGACCAGCGGGCCCGGGAUGUCAGCGAGCGAGAGCCGUGCCGGAGCGGCUUGCGGCCAGGUAUGCGAGGCACGGCAAGUAAACAAAAACAUUUGGGCCGUAAAGAAAGGCGGAGGCUGGCGAGAGCGAGCACAAGCGGAGCACCACCCACGCCACGCACGCACACCGGCGCUCGCCGCCACACUCAUCAGAGAGGCGCACGCGCGCGCAGAUCUCCCGCCGCGGCCCAGCCCUCGCGAUUCCGGCCGGAGGGGUGCCGCCCUGGACGCCGGCGCCUUCGAUUCGGUAGCCGCGGCCGCUUCAGUCCGGCUCCCGUAGCUAUUUUGGGGAUUUACACCCGCUUUUGUUUCCCUAACCUGGGUUUGUGAUGGGCGCAGAUCUGACGGCCCCCGGCGGCGGCUGCGGAGGGCACGGGGGGAGGCUAGGGUUAGGGUUCCGCCGCGAUGCAGCGGCCGGGACGGCUGCAGCGCUCGGGGUCGAAGCGCGGGCUUGACCCCACCGGCGGCGGCGACGACGACGACCAUGCGCCCAAGCGGCCGCGCGUCCCCGCCCUCGCGAGGUGAGCGCGCGUAAAAUGUUUCUGAUUCUGCUCUACAAAGGUUUGUGAUUGGUUAGGGUUCCGGUUCCGUGGCUAGGUUGUCUGCUGCUUUGCGGUCGGAUGAAAUUUGAAUCCUUCGCUUUAGUUUGGUUCGAUUGAGAUGACAGAUGGAAGCAGUAGUGGAUGUUGCUAGUGCUGCUGUUGCUGUUAAACUUAAAAUCGGUACAAAUGACUGCAGCAAGUUUGCCUAAUUAGGUUUUUUGUCAAUUUGGUUAACUGUCAGACUGAGUUUGAACUGGAGGAUGGUUUGGUUUACAUGUGGAAACUAUUUUUUGUUCUGAGAUGAGGUGGAAACUAUUACAAAAUAAGGAAGAAGCUUGAGUGGAUAAUUAUGAACCUUAAAUGCAGUGUGGUCCAUGCAAAAUUGAUGGGUUUUUUCCAGCAGUUCUGAGUGUUUGCUCUUUUGGCUGCUGGGUGCUGCCCACCUCAGAGCACCAACUUACCGAUAGCAAAGCGUUAUGCUGUAGAAAGUGGAUGAUCCAGUGAUUAUAGAAAUUGAAGUUCAAUAUUAGCAUGUAUUUCUGCCAUGCUGUUCUAGAAACAAUUUCUCCUGAUUCAGUAGUGAAUGCAAGCUGAGUUAUAAAUUAGCAAUCCACAUGCCAGAACCAUGAUCUGGGCAGGGCUGUCAGUCCGCUCUUACUAUUAUUGCUGCUACUUUUAUUGCUGUUACAAAUACCAUUUUUUCUAGUCCUUUCACCCUGAGAUUUGUUUGUUAGUUACUUAGUUUGUUUUGAUGCCUGAUGUUGGGUUUCAUCUCUACCCCAUCCCACCUUUCUUGGGAAUAAAAGCUUUGCUGUUGUUGUGUAUUAGUGUAGUAUCUUGUUUACGGAAGGUGGGUGCACAGUUAGGGUUUGCUAAUAUAUUAGAUGCAAUGGUUAUAUAGUCAAAUGAGAUGCUUAUAAUUCACAAAAUAAUUUUGGUCGAAUUUAGUAGAUAAGUUACAGCUUUUUUCUAUAUAAACUUCUUGUUACAAAUAUGUUUGUUGCUUAACUAAUGAUAUGUUUCUUCAGUGUCAUUGUGGAAGCUCUCAAGAUGGACAGUCUGCAGAAGCUUUGUUCAUCGCUCGAGCCCAUUCUCCGAAGAGUUGUGAGUCAAAUUGCUGCUGGACUUAUGCUUUAGUUUAUAUGUAAAUUCUGCAUACAAUUUCUUAUCCUUAUUGAUAUAUCUGAUCCAUUCUAUUUGGGUACUAGGUAAGCGAAGAAGUAGAGCGUGCUUUAGCCAAAUUGGGCCCUGCUAGGAUCCAAGGAAGGUAAAAAAAAA